CUUCAUCUAUUCUAUCAUGUCUGACAUGUUUGAUAAUCUUUUGAAGCUAGACGACUCAGCAGUUUUGUAUGAGGGCAUCUUAUGCAAAUCACAAGGAGGCUCAUCUGAGUGUUUAGGCAUAUCACCGUCUUUGUCAUACGAAUCAUAAAGACGUUCAUAUAAGUACUCAUUGUCCUCACACCCUUCAUCAUCGCUCCAUUGGUUUGUCGUGGCUUCACUCGACCAACCUGUUAUGUAGUUCAUUUCAUUGUCCCAAGAAGUUCCUUCAUUAUUAAACCACCUAUAAUAAAAAAAUUUGAGAAACACAAUUAAUGAAUAUAAAAAUUAGUACACUAUCUAGCUCAUUCAUUUUUUGACAAAUCUUAGUUAAAAGUAAUUGAUUUAGUAAAAAGUAUCACCGUUGCAAUCCUUGGCAACAACGCCAACAACUUGACCACCUCCAGACGUACUAACGUCCAUAGUGUGAAUAUUGCAAUAAAAAAGAUAGGAAAUUGAGGCGGGGUCUGCAAGUAUACCGGUCAGGUUGUAAUAUAUUAUGUUUACAACAAAACACUUGGUAAGUAUUUCGAGUAUCAUACCGAAAGGAUUGUAGUUUAGGGAAAACUAUUAUUAAGACAAUUAUCAAAAAUAAUUACUAAUCUACUUGAGUCACAAAUUAGUAGUAUCGAAGUAAGAUGACAAUAUUAUUAACUAACUAAAUAAAUUUAAAAAAACCUAAAUCUACUCCUAAGUUCAUGUAUUGACUUCUCUUAUCCCUUGUUUCGAUUAUGUGAGUUCCUUUAGACCUAGUUGCACCUUUUGACGUACAACUAACCUAAUGAGUCAGCAAGAACUACUUAUCUCUCAACCUCACAAUCCAGACUAUUUCAAGGGUGAGGUGUUAAUGGAUAGACCAUACCAAUUUUGGGUUAAUUCACAUAUAAAUGACUUCCUAGGGUCGUCAAGCCUAGGAUUUAAGUUCUUCCCCUCCCAAACAGCUGACCCACUAAGAAAAUCUAUCCUUAAAUUGAUUAAUUAGGUGAAAACAAUUGAAACAUACGAAAUAUAUAUAAAGCAUAAAUUGAGUCUAAUAUUUACACAAACAUUCAACUAACAAUGUUAAAAAAAGAGAUAAAAAGAAUAGAAUAAGGAAACGAGAUGCUCAUGGAUUUAUUGAUGAAAGCGUGGCUGUAGAAGAAUCUCCACUCGUGAAAGUCUUACUUCGGAAUAGGAUAUUUCGAUUACAAGAACAUAAAAUACCGUAAGUGAAAAUUAGAACUAAAUAAAAACCUAAGAAUAAUUUUGUCUCCCUAAAAUUGUUUGGUUAAAUUAAUUACAAUGGCCUUUAUAUAGGAUGAACUUUGAAUAUUAAAGUGCCCAAAUUAUCCUUGAAGUCCUUAGAGUUUGUCUAGGACAAAUACUCCUAAUUUCCCUAAAAAAGUAAUUAUCUAAUGCAGGGACUUUUUGGGUGUGUAGGGGCAGUGUUGUGACACAAGCUUGCAGUGUUACAACAUCGAAUCCAGUGUCGCGACAUCAAAGGGUCGUGUCGUGACACCGAAGGAAAUUUCGCUCUAGGGCUUUGUUUUUGCUUAUCCCUUCGAUGUUGCAACAUUGGUGUCUUGGAGUUGCAACAUAGGCAUCAAUUUUGACCUGAAUAUGCAUCUUUAGCUGUCCUACAAGACCAUGUAACCUUAUUUAGAUAUAUAAAUUGUAAUAAAACUAAUAAAACACAUAAAUUACUAAUUUAAGCAUAAAAACCUAAAUAUAUACUAAGAUGCUUUGAUUUAACUAUUAAACAAGCUAAAGUUGUGUAAAAAUGAUAUAAACAAUAGUGUAAUUUGUGGCAGAUCAAUUAACUAACUCAAUAUCAUAAUAUAUUUAAAUUUACAUUUUUGACCCUUUAACAACAUUUUACGCUUUUACGCUAAACUUUUACAUUUUCUUCAAUUUAAUCACUAAACUCGAAACUCCAAUUAAAUCACAAAUUCACUCAAAUAAGGCAAUCCAAAUUUUGGUUUAUGUAUAAACAACUCAUUAUUAUCAAUAAAGUAGAAGAAUUUCAUGAUAAAUUUAUUAUUUUAUCAUAUUAGUCCUUAAACUUAAAACUAACUAAAGUCACUUACAAAAUAGUCCUAUCUAACAUCCAAGCUUAAUAAUCCAUGAAACUACAAAAAACAUUACAAAUUCUUCAAUGACAUAAUUUUGAACAUUUAAUAGUUUUACAAAUUAGUCCUCGGGUUAACUAGGUUAAGUUACAACAAUCUUAAAAACAUAAAAAUCACUAAAAAUGUGCUUAGAUUGAUUGGAGAAUAGUAAAUAAAGAAGAUGAAUGAUGUUUUUUCUUUUUGUUUAUUAUUAUUAUUACUUUUAACAUUAAAAUAACAAACAUUUUGAUUAUAAAACUACUUAAUUAAGAUAUAAAAUCGAUCACUAAUAUUAACCUUGGCCUAAUUACCAAUUAGUUUUAGUAGUCAAUUAGGCCUUUUAAACUAAUAAAGAUUGACUUUUGUGACUUUUAUGAUUUAGCCCUUUUAUUUAAUUAACUAUUUAAAAGUAACCACUAUUUCUGACACCACUGAAAAAGGGUUGUUACAAUUCUCCCCUAAAGGAAUUUUUGUCUUAAAAAUCUUACUAAGAAAGAGGUUCGGGUAUUGUAUUUUCAUAGUCUCCUUGGGUUCCCAGACGGCUUACUCGAUACCAUGAUGCUGCCAAAUAACUUUUACCAACGAUAGCAGUUUGUUUCAAAGUUCUUUAACUUCCAAAGCUAAAGUAUUAACUGGUUCUUCACUAUAGGUCAUAUCAGGCUACAAAUCUAUGUCAAUCAGAGAAAUCACAUGGGAAUGAUUUUAUCUAUAUCGUUUCAAGAUUGAGACAUGAAAAACAUUAUGAAUCUUUUCAAGUUUUGUCAAUUAAUGCCAAACGGUAGGCUACUGGACCUAUUCUUUCAAUAACUUUGUAUGGACCAAUAAACCUUUGGGUGAGUCUUCCUUUCUGGCUGAAACAAAGAACCUUCUUCCAAGGUGAAACUUUCAGGAAUAAUUUCUCACAUACCUGAAACUUAAUGUCUUUUGUUUUUAAAUCGACAUACAAUUUCUAACGAUCUGACGCAGCUUUCAAAAAUCCUGAAUAAUCUUGACUUUAUAUUCAGUCUCGCGAAUCAAAUCGGUACCACAAAUCUUUCUAUCACUUAAGUUAGUCCAGUACAAUAGAGUUCUGCAUUUAUGUCCAUAUAAAGCUUCGUAUGGUGCCAUUUUAAUACUUUACUAGUAACUGUUACCAUAAGUAAAUUCAACCAACAUAAUAAACUUUUCCUAGCUACCUUGAAACACAAGUAUACAACACCAGAUCAUAUCUUCAAUACCUGAAUUACUCGCUUUGACUGUCCAUCCAUUUGUGGAUGAAAAGUUGUACUGAAUUGCAGUUUGGCACGCAAAAACUCAUGUAGCUUACCCUAAAACUUACAAGUAAACCUCGGAUCACGAUAAAAAAUAAUAGAUAGCAGAACACCAUGUAAUCUGGCUAUUUCUGAAACAUACAACUCUACCACUUAAUUAAGUGUGUAAUUCGUACAUACGGGUAUAAAAUGUACAGACUUCGUUAACCAAUCAACUAUCACCCAGAUUGCAUCUUUCUUUCUUGGCGUUAAUGGAAACCCCAAUACAAAGUCCAUAGUAACACACUCCCGUUUCCACUCAAGAAUCAUAAUAGGUUGCAACAACCCGGAUGGAACCUAAUGCUCGACUUUUACCUAUUAGCGCACAAAGCAUUUAGAUGCAAAUUCAAAAAUGUCACGUUUCAUUCUUGGGUAGCAAUACAUUUGUUUAAAAUCGCAAUACAUUUUUGUACUUCUCGGGUGUAACGAAUAAACAUUAUUGUUAGCUUUAUUUAAAAUGAUCUGUUUCAACUGUGAAUCAUCAAGUACACAUAACCGGUUAUGGAAAUAUAAACUGCUAUCCGUACCAAUACUAAAAUCAGCUAUCUAACCAUUUUUAACCAUUUUUUGUUUAGCUAGCAAAUCUGGAUCACUAAAUUGUAACUUCCGAAUGUUCUUUAAAAAUAAAGGUUUAACCCUCAACUUAACUAAAAUAGAACCAUCACACUGCAACUAAGGCUGAGCAUUCAUCAAUUGAAGAGCAAAAAGAUAAGCAUUGACAACGACAUUUUCUUUGCCCGGAUGAUUGUUUAUUAUCAAAUUGUAAUCUUUGAGCAACUCUAGCCACCUCCAUUGUCACAGAUUCAACUCAUUUUGUGUCGUUAAAUAUUUCAGACUUUUGUGAUCAGUAUAAACGUGACAUUUCUCCCUGUAUAGAUAACGAUGCCAGAAUUUCAACGCAAAAAACAAUUGUAGCUAACUCAAGAUCAUGCUUCGGGGAAUUAUUUUUAUGAAUUUUAAGCUGUCGAGAAGUAUAUGCAAUAACCUUGCCCUCCUACAUCAAAACACAUCCCAAACCGUUUAAAGAAACAUCAAUGUAAACAACAAAUUCUUUCCCAGAUUUGGGCUGUGUCAACAUUGGUGCCCCAGUCAACAUAUUUUUCAACUGAUCAAAACUUUGUUGAACUUUCUCAGACCAUACAAAGCUAACAUCUUUCUGUAAUAGUUUUGUCGUAGGUAACGUUAUUAUCAAAAAUUUCUUAACAAACCAUCGAUAAUAUCCAGUUAGUCCCAGGAAACUACGUACUUUAUAAAUGUUUCACUAAGGUUUCUAGUUUAAAAUACAAGAAAUCUUGUUCGGAUCAACCUGUAUCCUUUCAGCAGAAAUCACAUGACUGAGAAAUUUUACUUCUUUAAACCAAAUUAUGCGUUUACUAAACUUUGCGUACAAUUUAUUUUCACACAAGGUCUGUAAUAUGAUCCUUAAAUGUUGAUCAUGUUCACAUUCAUUUCUGGAAAAAAUCAGAAUAUCGUCAAUAAAAACAAUAAUGAACCUAUCGAGGUGUAGCUAAAAAACUAGAUUCAUGAGCCAAAAAUGUAUAACCAGAAACUCAUAUUGUCUGUAACGGGUUAUGAACGUUAUUUUCGGCACGUCGACAUCUUUCACUCCCAACUUAUAGUAACCAGAUCUGAGAUCAAUCUUCGAAAACACUGUGAAUCCUUUCAAUUGAUAGAAUAAAUCAUCAAAUACAAAGCAAUGGAUAUUUAUUUUUUAUCGUCAAAUUUUUUAAUUGUCGAUAAGCUAUACAUAACCUCAUUGACGCAUCUUUAUUUUUCACAAACAAAACAGGUGCACCCUAAGGUGAUGUACUUAGUCGACUAAAACCUUUGUCAAUUAAUUCUUGCAAUUAAGCUUUUAGUUCUUUUAAUUCGAUUGGAGCCAUUCAACAUUGAGCAAUCAAAAUCAGAGCAGACCAUGGCAUUAACUGAAUAACAAAUUCAACUUCUCACUGUAGUGGUAAAUACCGCCCGACAACUCCUUAGGAACAAUACCUGUAAGCUCGCAUACUGUCGGGACCUGAUCAACUUUCUUUUCUGAUACUCGAAUAAAUUUCUAUGCUGAAAUCGCUUAAAUUAUAUUUGAAACACAAGUAGAAUUCGUGGAUUCAAUAGAAAUCAAUUAACCAUUCUGACAUAUCAAAUCAAUCUAUUUUUAACGGCAAUUCACAAUAGCAUCAUGAAUAGUCAAUCAAUCCAUUCCUAGGAUAACGUUAAAUUCAUUAAAUGGUAGUAAUAUCAAAUCAGUAGGAAUGUUGUAGCCUUGAAUAUUUAGUGGACACUAUUUGCAUAUCAAGUCUACUACGACAGUCUGGCGUAAUGGGUUUGUUACUUUAAUGACAUAUUUUGUCGACCCAAUUGGUAAAUUCUUUUUGAUUACUAAUGUAGUGCAUACAUAUGAAUGUGUCGAUCUAGGGUCAAGUACAUAGUAACAUCAAAUAUAGAAAAAGUACUAGCAAUAACAUCAAGAGCUGAAGCUCCUUACAUGCAUGAAUUACAUUAGCUCUGGCAGGAGCUCAAUCUUCAGAUUGAUCAGUAGAAUCCUUGGUCCCACUUCUGCUAACUCCUAUGGCACCAUUAUUUCUUGGUCGUCUACCUCUAAUAAAAGUAACAACAGGUUUUGCAUUUUGAUCUCUCUUUGAAUCAGUUCAUUUUGGGUAAUCACUCUUGAAAUGAUCAAGAGAUCCACAAAGAAGGUAAGAUCCAUCUUUCAACCUACACUCACCAAAGUGAUACAAAAAAUAUUGACUAUAUUUUGGUUUGUUUACAUUUUGGACGCUACCUGCACAGAUGACCGAAGGCAUUGGUGAUUUCAUGUUGUUCUUCUUCGAUCAAUCUUUGCCCGAAAACUCAGAUGGUGCUGAGAAAUGACUAUUCAAUUCUUUCAUGUUCUUUAAUGUGAGAGUAGAAAAUGUUCUGGUUGAGUUACUGUAAACUAAAAAAUAUAUAGAAUUUUUCCUAUAUAAUUCAUCACCUUUUUACUUAAAUUUGUUGUUAAAACCAAGUAAUUGUUUAAUAAAUUAAUGAAAUAUGCGACAAUAUGAAAUUAGGACAUGAGAAUUAUUAAAAUGUGAUUUUAUGUUGUAUUCUAUAGUUUUAAUGCAUAAAAUGACUUAUUUUAUAUUAGUUUGAGCAUAUUAUAUUUUUAAGCAAUAAAGUGGGUCAUGCAUGAUUAAAUUAAAUAAUUAAAUAAUAAAAUAUAAAGUUAUAUUUAAUAAUUCAUUUUAAAUAUUUCAUUAAUAAAUUGGAUUUUAAUUAAUUAAGUAAAUUAAUUAAUUUAAGUGGUUAAAAUUAUAUUAUUUGGUCUGCUUAACUAUCUACUAUUUUUGGAUAGGUCUGAGAGUUUUCUUCUAAUUGCAAAACCAUCCAAAUUGGGGACCAAGUCAACCCAAUUUUCGGCUGCACAUGGCUAAUCAUAAAUCAAUUUUUGGUUUAAUUACACAAGGUCCUUGAAGAGUUAAAGAAAUUAGAGAUUUUCCCCAAGAUUUGCUAGUGACCGAGUCUUAGUCCUAAGUUGUGGUGGCACUCAAAUUUACCAAGAAUCAAGCAGAAUCAACCACAUUUCCUCAAUUCAUGGCCAACUAUCCUUGGAAGAAGUUUCAAAAGAUGACACUCCUAUUUUUAGUAAACUAGCUCCCUUGCCUCACCUAUAAAUAAGAUCUCAUUUCUCACUUUUUCAACCAUCCCUCAAUCACCCCGUAAACAUCAUUCUCUCUUUUCUCCAAAUUCUCUUAGUCUUUUCCAUUCCCAUGCUUAGCAUCAUCUCUUCAAAGAGAUUUUAGCAAUUAAGCCUAUUAAAGAACCCUUGGUUAGCCACUUUAGAGAGCCAUCAGCAAAGAAGCAAAGCAAAGGAACGAAGGAGCCUCGUUAGUCAAAGUCUUGGGUGAUAGCCACUCUGAAUUGGGUUUAAUCUUCCUUUUCUUUAAUUUAAUAUAAAGAUGUUUGCUAUGUGUUCUUUGUUCUUAUUUAGAACAAUGUUAACUUAAUUUUAUUUAAGCUAGGAUGAUUGCUUUGAUUAAAUAAUAUUUAUUUGAUUCAUGCUUACAAUGUUUGUGCCUCAAUCGACCAUGUUUUCAAUUAAAAUCAAGUUUGUAUUUCAUUCAUACGUGAUUGAAAUGCACCUGAAUUAGCUGAGUGAUCCUAACCAGACGAUGGCUAAUGGACACAUAAUUGAAAUGUGCAUGCUCAAUUUAGAUCCUGACUCGAUUAAAUUGUAGGUUGCAUAACAACUCUGACCUAGCUCUGUUAUCUACAUAGUUUUUAGAUUGGUGUAAUUAAAUUGUUUCAAACCUGACACAUCCCUGUUACCUCACACGCAUGCUAAGAAACCUUUAGUAAAUAAGGAUCAGUAAAAUGCGUAUUUACUAAGUAAAGGAUUUCGAAAGGACCUAAUACGGUUUCCAAACUCAUGAAAGAUCGAGUUGCCAUGGAAUGUUUUUCGAAUGUUAUUAAGCAUGUUGAUAAUAAAUUGAGUUUAAUUAAAGUAAUUGUCCUAAUUUAUUUAUGUCAUAAUUGUUACAAAUUGUGUUUAAUUUACUAAAAUCUAUUUCAUUCAUAUAGUUUGCAUACUUAUGAUAAUUUGCAUUAGGGAUCAUUGCAUUUAGUUUAAUAUAUUUUAAUCACCACUUUUCAACUAUAUUGUGUUUUUAUUUACCAAAGUGUUAAUAUAAUUUUACAAAUUAAGUGGCUUAGCACAAGUACAAUCCCUUUGGAGACGAUAACUCGAUACUUACUUAUUACUUGAUAACGACUGUGUACACUUGCACAAACCUAUGCGUUACAGUUACGUUUAUGGAAGUCAAGAGCUUUCGUCUCUUUAUCUUUCUUGUGAUUGUAAACUUCUUCCAUUUUCUAAGCUCUAUCAAACAAUACCACAAAUUCUUUGAUUUCUAUAGCACCCAUUAACAACUUAAUUUCAUUGUUUAAACCAUCUCCAAACUAUAUACACAUUUCUUCCUCAGAACAUAAAAUUUCAAUAGCAUAUUUUUUGAGUUGAACAAACUCGCGCUCAUAUUCUACAACUCUUCUAUUACCCUAUUUAAAAUUGAGGAAUUCCUUUUUCUUCUUAUCAGGAUAUCUUUUAGUGAUGUAUUUCUUCUAGAUCUCAGUUUUAAAGAAUUACCAGUUCACUCAUUCCUUAGGUACAACCACAAUUAGAGCUGUCCACCAGUAAAAAGCAUCUUCUUUUAAGAACGGCACAACACAUUUCAAAUAGCCAUCUGGAGGACACAACAACUCAUCCAGAACCCACUAUGUAUGUUCUAACUAGUACUUAGCUCUGGCCAUAUCAUCACCCACCUUACCAUAGAACUCUUCAGCUCCACACUUUCGGACUUUAUCAAUAGAAAUUCUAUGGGUAUUCGGUCAUACAGGGCUUUGAGGACGAGGUGAUAAGGGUUGUCGAGCCGUAGGAUUAGCUCUCAAGUACGUAUUAAACAUAUAUUUCUUUAUAAGGAAAAGGGCAUUGGGAGCCUCUUCUCUAGGCUCUUGAAACUUAGGUACAUUAUGGGAAUUCCCUUGAUCGUUGGCUGCAAUAUUACUCUGAGCAUCACCAAAAUAUAAACAAUUGGAAUCAGUUGAAAUCUUUAAUCUACAAGAAAACAAGUCAAACUGAUCAGGAGUCAUCACACUAUCACAUGUUAUAAAGUGGCAUGUAUUUCUAGACUUAAUACAUGCUAUGUUCAGUCCUGCAAUUGACUAAAAUAUAACUCUGACACCAUUAAAUGUAACACCCAAUCCCUAAUCUAGUUGUCUAACCCAAAAUAUAAGGCAUUACGACAUUAAACCUUGAACAUUUCUCAUAAAAUCAUCUAAAAACAAAUAAAUAAAUCAUUACCAUUAAAUUAUAGACUAUUCAAUCAACUCGGGACCUAAAUCGAGCUUAUGGAACAUUUAAAACAUACCAGAAAUAGUUCUUUAUUAAAAUGAAACUUUUAAAAUUUUUUGAGUAAAAAGUGAAAACGGGACACACCGUGUGGCUAGGUCGCGUGGUAGAGCUCGGCUCGUGUGGCCAAAUUGUGUAAUAAUUUUUGCCCAUGUAACUCAGGGUUAGAUGGGCGUGUCACCAAGCUGUAUAACUCUCCAAAGCUGUGUGGACAAUCCUGCACCAAAAAUUAAAAAGGCCACGUGGUCGUGUCAUGCAACCAUGUGGCAGACCAUGUCCCAUCCUUCUAUGCCCAAAAACACCUUUAAACAUAAGUCAUUUCACAUACCAAAACUUAAACUUCAAGUUAUACAUUAACUAUCAUUCAAACUUAUUAAAAUUGUGCCAAACCAUGUCAAAAUACAUCAAUACACAAUCAACCUAUGUGACUGACCAAUAUGCCCUCAUUGGCACCACAAUUCAAACGUAUACAACAUCCAUUCAACCCAAGCAUAUAUCUCAAGUUAAACUCAAUCGAUCAUCACCUAAAUUCUAGAUACCAAGUGCUAAAGUUCAACCAUUUAAAUGAAAUCAUCAAAUGCCCAUAUAUCUCAUCCUAAUUUCAUACCUUAGCAUAACCAAAUUGACCUUUUCAACUAAACACAAAACAUUCCAAGUUUCCUAUUGACAUAAACAUACAAAAACAACCAUUAAAAGUGCCAUUAAAUACAAUAUCAUUCAGUCACGAUCACAUAUUUCAACCAACCAACAUAUCAAUAAGAUUUGUAUCCAAACAUUCACUAUAAUCUUCAAAAGGUACAACAUAUAACCAUAGUUUUUAUACCAUACAUAACCAAAUCUCUAUUUACAUGCCACUUAUAACCAGGCCAAAAUAAGCAAAUAGUUAUCGAAUGAGUUGCCAAAUAGUGUGAUCUCGAAUAAUGCUCCAAUCGACAAUUAAAGUCUAAUGAUCUACAAAGAAGAAAAUUAACUAAAGUAAGCUUACAUAAAGCUUAGUAAGUUCGUAAAACAAAACAUUGCAUACCCAUUAAUUUAAUUACAAGUCAUACAUAUCUUGAAACGAACAAUCCUUUGUCAUAUUCCAACAUUUGAACUAUCCACAUAAUUGAACUUGGAUGAUUCUUAUCACCAGAAUACAACAUGUUAAAUAAUCAUGUACUUAAAUAUGAAUCAUCAUAUCAUUUUAUUCCAUUUCAUUUUCAUAGUUAACUGAAUUGUCUACAGAACAAUCAUAAAUCAACUUCGGAUACACAAGAGUGUAAUGCUCAUACGAGCUAACAUAAAGACAUUAACAGGUAUACGAUAUUGCUCAGACAAGCUUCAGAGAAUCUGCAACACAUACAGAAUCUCAAGCCAUCAGUACGGUAUCCAUCACCGACACAUAGUACCUAGUAAAAUUAACACUGGCACAAAGUGCCUGCUAUUGAAACACCAGUACAAAGUACCUACUACUAAAAUCACCAGAAUGUAACAUCCAUACUCGACCUGGGCGCCAAGCUGAAUAUUGAGAAGCCACACCUCUGUCUCACUACUUGUUCAUCUAACACAACAUGUUAUUUAUCAUGCAUCUUUUUUUUUCAUCAAUACUAACAUAACAUUAUCAUGAAUUAUAAACCAUACAUUAACUUUUUGUUGGCAAACCGUACCAAGAAUUCAUAAAAUAGAAUAACAUAGGUAUUAAUCAUGCAUUAGGACCAUUUAUCAAAAUUUCCCAAAAAUAUUAUGUAGGUAUCGAUACCGACUUUAUGGUGCCAAUAUUUCCUUUAAGUGGUAUCAAUACCACCUGGAAAAUUGAUACCAAACAAGCAUUCUGUUUUUCACCAAAUUUUGAAACAUUGGUAAAAGAUCGGUACAUUUUACAAGGUAUCGAUAAUUACACCCCGAGUAUCAAUACUUGGGCCAAGGUAUCGAUACCAAAUUGGUAUUCUAACACCCUGGACUUUUAAAAAUACAGAUGUAUCAUUUUAAAAGCCUUAAUAUCAAUACCUCUGCUUCAGGUUACAAAAAUUCAGCAUAUAAGGGAAUUUAAAUCAUUCAAACUUAGUUCCUAAACAUCAUGCUUCAUUGACCUAGUCACAUAAGCACCAAAAUGUCUAAACAAUAAUCCAAGAACAAUGUCCAAGUUCACAAGCUUCCAAACAUACACAAUAUGCAAAUAAUCCCAAAUACGUCUUACCAAAAUCGAUAUAAUGUCUAACACAUUGCCUUUUUAUUCCCUAGAGCUCGAAUAAGCAAAACAAAUACUAUAAUGAAUAAAGAAUAGCUUGGAUCAAUCCCUCGAUGGCCACAUUGCUCGCACCGGGAAUGAAACUACUCUACAAAAGAUAAAAUGGAGUGGGUUUGCUUAACAACCUCAGUGAAUGCGUAGACCAACCACUACGCAAACAAGUCAUGAUGCAUCAACCAAACAACAUACACCAUAUUCCUAAAACGUCAUUAACUAAGUGUCAAAAUUCACAUAUUUAAUCAUAUUUCAUGCAUUCUUUUACACCCUAUUUAUACGAACAUUUAGGCAUACAUAUAUAUAUUCUGGCACUUAUCAAUCACAUAUAAGCACAUAUAAUUACAAACAAUCACAUUUAGUCACAGUGUAUGAUAAUGUGGCUCUUGAGUUUAUGAAACAUAAAGUGGACUCUAUUACCACUCAUUGAAUACACGAAUAUCCAACACACCACACAAUGACUCGUAGAGUCAAACAUAUCUCAUAAGCGAACCAUAUAGCUAACGUUUUCCAGCACACUACAGAUACAUAUCCCAGUGAAUGGAGCUUGACUCACAUUCCCUUAUCUCUCCAAAACUAUCCCUAGGCCUCAACGCCCCACAUAUCAAAACACAUAAAAGUGACAACGCAAAAAUAUCCAUAAUGAGAUCAUAUGUUACUUAUUGAUUAUCCGCACAUAUUCACUGCAUAAUCACGUCAUUAGCACAUUAUACACAAUGUCACAUGGCAUGAAUAACAUUCCCUCAUAUUUACCAUCACAGCAGUCAUCACAACAUGUUCAUAUUUCAUUACAUCAUAAUUCUCUUUAUCAUAAUUUACAAACAUAUUUAUCACAUAUUUAGCAUAGGUAAAAUAAGACUUACACUCAAAAUUUAGAGAAGGGGUUUAGGCUACCUCUAAAUUCCCAAAUACACAACGAAUCAUCUACAAGUAGCGAUUCUAAAACACUCACCGAAAUAUUCACUUUUACCGAAAAACCUAAAGCGUAGACAAGCUUCCCUUUGUCUUUAUGCCUACUCGUUAAAGGUCCUAUCGACUCCGACACUUCAACAAGACAAACCACACAUAUAUUCAAUCAAAAAUUAGUCAUUAACUCACCUCAAAUAGCCACAGAUACAAGCCAAAGCUACAUUCUUUUCUAAUCAAAACCUUUAACACAACAAACUUAAAAUUCGAAUAACUCAGUCUUCACUUAAUAUCUUUACAUGAAACGAAUUCCAUUCAUCUACAUAUUCAUCUAAGACUAAUUGUAAACCUUUAAACUACACAAAACUAUAUGUUUUAAAGUAUCAAAAAUUUUCGACAAGUUUUGGCCCUUACAGCAAAAAUUCAUUAAACCCUGAGAAAUCCUUAACGAAACUUCAAAGUUACUUUAAAAAGCUUUUAAUUAGGUUAAAAAUAAUUGAAAAACACUUUAACACCAAGUUUUUAUCCCCAAAAUUGAAAUUCACUAUUAAACACUUGAUUUUCGGCUUUUAAUCAAAACAUGUAAUUUAACGGCUAAAAAUUUAGUUUCCAAGACCCAAUAACAUUAAAAACUAAUAAUAAUGCGAAUGGUUACCUUUAAUGAGAGGAAUAAUGAGUUUUUGAUGCAAAUCUAGAAACCCGCAAGUAGAGAAGAUGAUGAAAGUGGUGAGAUUUUUUGGUAAUUUCUAGAGGAUUGAAAGAGGUUUAAUGCUAGGAAAUGAUAGAAAAUCAAAGUAUUAAAAUUUUGGAGUAAAAAAUCAAUUGAAAGAGUGAAGAGGAGCAAGAGACGACAACACUAAAGAGAUGGGAAGAAGCAUUCGUGAAAAUAACUGGGAAUGGGGGUUUAUAGAUUGAUUUUGAAAAAUUGGUUUAAUUCAUCAUACAGAAUCACAACUUUUACCAUUUUACAAAUCAAUCUCUUUUCUAAAAUUAAUGAAAUUCAAAACUUUUUUCCCAAAAUUAACUUAACUUUAUGAAAAUCAUUGUCGAAAAUAAUUUCGAGUACCAAACUUACGAAAUUCUGAGCUCAUAAAGGCCAAAAUUCCUAAAAUUUCUCUAAACUCCUAGGCCUUAUUUUGGGGUGUCACAACUUCCCACCACUAAAUGAAAUUUCGUCCUUGAAAUUUACCUGAGCUAAACAAAUAGGGAUACUAAUGUCUCUUCGCUUCCUCGGUUUCCCAAGUAGCCUCUUCCACUUUAUUGUAUUGCCACAAAACUUUAACCAGUGGGACUCUUUUGUUUCGUAACACUUUCACUUCAUGGUCUAAAAUCUCUAUUAGUUCCUCAUAAAAAGUGAUAUUAUGUUGAACCUCAAUCUCCUUUACUGGCACAAUAUGCAAUGGAUCUAAACGAUACUUCUGAAGCAUAGGCACAUGGAAAACAUCAUGGAUUUGCUCAAAUUCUAAUAAUAACUUGAGUUGAUACGCUAUCGGUCCAACCCUAUUGAUAACCUCAUAUCGUUAACAUACCUUGGACUUAACUUGCUCUUCCUACCAAAUCCCAAAACCCUCUUCCAUGGGGAAACUUUCAAGAACACCUUAUCGCCAACUUCAAACUCUACAUAUCUACAUUUCAAAUCCGUAUAUGAUUUCUACCUAUCUACCACUACUUUCAAUCUCUCACAUAUCAACUUUACCUUUCCUUCAGUCUCGUGAACUAAAUCUAGUCCAACGACCCUCUUUUCAUCCAAUUCCAUCCAACACAAAGGAGUACUACACUUCCUACCAUACAACGCCUCAAAAGGUGCCAUGUGAAUACUUGCUUGAAAACUAUUAUUGUAAGUGAACUCUACUAAGGACAGAUAUCGCUCCCAACUACCACUGAACUUAAUCACACAGCUUCGUAACAUAUUUUUAACACUUGAAUUACCCUCUUAGAUUGACCAUCAGUUUGGGGAUGUUAAGUCACUAAUAACUCUUGAAAAAAAGGUACAUUGGAGGCCUCUAAAUAUAAUUAAUUGGUUACAAUUAAGUGAAUACAUUUGCAUUUUUAGAAUAUUUUUAGAACACUGAAUAACAAAGCUUAGUUUGUGAUAUAAUGGUAAUUAUUUGUUACUUUUCAUUUGGGGAAUAAAGGUGUGGUUUUGUGUGAACACAGGUGUAGGAAGAGCAAAAAGAUGAAGAUGGAAAACAAGGGAAGUGAAAUAUUGCCGCGGCAUUUGGUGGAAUUGAUUGCCAACAAAAUUCCAUGGAAAUUCCGAGAAUAUGACUCAGCACUUUAUCCACAUCAUUCUCAGCCAGCUAUGUGUGUACCAAAAAAUCCAACCUGAAAAGUGGAAUGAAAAAAAGUGUGCUAAGGUGGGAUGGAUCUACCCAAUAAAAGGAGAGAGAAGAAGAAAAAGAGGAGAAGAAUUUGUGUGAGAAAGAAGUUGGUGUCAAUAAUCCUCUCUCUGUACAGAGAAAAACUCUAUUGGAAAAUUUCAGAGAAAGAAAGUGUAGCAGCUAUUGAGAGCAGAAUACAGACAUGAAGAACGGGAAGAAACAUCUAUUCUAGAUUCACGUACGAUCGGAAGAUAAAAGAGAAGCUGGAGUGUUGCGAGAAAUCCUACAGUUCUACCUUUAGUUCUUUUGAUUUUUUAGAUUGAAAAAUUGUUUAAAUAUUGAUGAAUGAUUUUAACUUGGUGUUAACUUUUCCAUCCAUGAACUAAAUAUUUUCUGGGUUGGAGUUAUUUGGGUGAAUUUUCUAUCAUCUUUAAUGUUCAUGAGUUGAAAUUGUCUAUGCCACAAUUUCAUUCAAUUUUUACUUAUUCUAAAUAAAUGCAUGCAAGAUCUAGACAUAGUUGAUUGUGUGUUGUGUUCUUUGAGGUAUUUUUAAUUCUAAAAAGGUUAAAUAUACUAGAUUUAGAAUCGUUUGUGGCAAGUAAAUAUUUGACAGAAUAUUUGUAGCACUCUAGAUAUAGAUGUUACGAGUUGUGCAAAGAGAAGAACAUUCAUUACAAUUAUUAAUCCAGAGUUCUGUAGAUGUAUAGUAACUUAGAUUUUUAGCUUAAAAUCUAGCUAUCCAAAUAGGCAAGUUACACUAGUGACUCUCUGAGCAGUUGAUUAGACAAUAUUUUUCCAUGACAUUAUUUUGAUAUGAGCAUUUCAUUUGAAUAAUUUCAGCCGUAUUCAUUCAGCAACAAGAUUACUCUUACUUUUCUCUAUAAUUUGCCAAUACAUUUUAUUUGUCGUAUCAAUUUUUUUUAGCAUUAAAUUACAUUAAUUUAUUAUACCAACAUCUCAUUCAAUUUAAGAAUAUUUCUUGUUAUUUAGUAUAUUUAAUAGGAUUAAAAUAACUUAAUCAAUAUCUUACCAAUUUGCAAUCCCUGUGGAGACGAUACUUACUUAUAACUUUAUUACUUGAAUGACAUGUACACUUGCACAAUUGCAUUAAUUAUUUACACGCAACAAGUUUUUGGCAUCGUUUUUGGGGAUCAGUUGCAUUGGUGAAAAGUUAAUUUUUUAUUAUUCUUGUUAUUUUUGCUAGAAUAGUUAAGGAGUAUUUUAUUUGAUUUUUUAGGUUUGUACUAGUGCAUGGGAAGAAGUAGUCAAAAGGAUAAAGAAUAAUGUUUUGAUCUUAUGAUUGAAAGGACACUAAGGCGAAGAAAAAAAGCAUUAAGAGAAGUAGAGAGGGUUAUACAUUAUCCAAUCAGGGAAGAUCAGGUACUCUAGAAUGAAAGGAAUGUUGAUAUUCCUUAAAUUUUAGAUGAUAAAGAUAGACCCAUCAGAGAACAUGUAGUGCCUACUUUGGGUGGUCUAAGUCUAGGAACUGUUAGGCCACAUAUUCAAGCUCAGCAUUUUGAUUUAAAACCAGUAAUGUUUCAGAUGCUGUAGACAAUAAGACAGUUUAGUGGUUUGCUAACUGAAGAUCCCAGAUUUCACUUGAGACAUUUUCUUGAAGUCAGUGACUCAUUCAGGCAGCAGGGUGUUCUUCAAGACACCUUGAGAUCAAUUUUUUUCCCUUAUUCAUUGCAAGAUCGUGCCAGAUCAUGGGGUGGCAUCUUGGAAUGAACUGAGUGAGAGAUUUCUAAUUUGGUACAAUCCUUCCAACAUGAAUGCCAAGCUGAGGAAUGCCAUUACAUCAUUCAGGCAAUCUGAAGAUGAGACAUUAUACGAAGCAUGGGAGCAUUUCAAGGAAUUAAUUAGAAAAUUCCUGAUGCAUGGUUUUCAGCAUUGGACACAAAUGGAAAUGUUCUAAAAUGGAUUAAAUGCUUAUACGUGAAUGGUGGUGGAUGCAUCUGCUAAUGGGACGUUGCUUUUGAAAUCCUACAAUGAAGCAUAUGAAAUUUUAGAAAGAAUAGCAAAUAAUGAUUAUCAGUACCCCACUACCAAAGUUGGUACUGGUAGAAGAGUUGCUAGAGCAAGAACUUGAUGUAAUUACAUUGUUAAUAGCUCACGUAUCAUCCUUAACAAUUCUGAUUAAAACUCUGAAAAGACCCUCUAUAGUGUAGGAGAUGAAGGUUGGAGAACUAAAAUGCAUAUACUGUGGAGAAGAUCAUGUUUUUGAUGAAUGCCCAUCCAAUCCAGCCUCUGCAUAUUACAUGGUAAAUUUUAAUCGUAGCAACAACAAUCCCUACUCCAACACGUACAAUCCAGGGUGGAAGCAACAUCCAAAUUUCAAAUAGAGAAAUCAGGGAAUGAGGAAUGCCAACAAUGUUAAUAGACAGAAUGUGGCUGGGGUACCACCUGGACACAGUCAACCAAUGUUAUAGAAAAAUAUGCAAUAAAGUUCAUCAUCUUCAACAUCAGCUAUGGAAGCUUUAUUAAAAGAGUAUAUGGCUAAGAAUGAUGCAAUUAUUCAUAGUCAGAUAGCUUUUUUAAGAGCUCUGGAGAAUCAAGUGGGAUAAAUUGCCACUACAUUAAGCUCCAGACAGCGAGGAGUAUUGCCUAGUGACAAAGAAAGUUCUAGAUCUGAAGACAAAGAACAAUGUAAAACAAUAACACAACGGAUUUGCACUCAGGUGCUAGGAGUUGUGAAUGAUGCCUUGUUUGAGGAUGAAAGUUCUGAAGUUCCCAGAAUUGAAACAAACUACAAAAGAUGAGAGUAGAAAAAAACAUAUAGAAGCAUAUUAAUCUUACUGAGCCAAUACAAAUGCCAUGGCAAAGUAACCUCAACAAAUGGAAGGAAGGCCACCGCCACCUUUUUCCUAGUGUUUCCAAAAUUCGAAACAAGGUGCUCAAUUCAAGAAAUUUCUAGAGGUCUUAUAGCAAUUACACAUCAACAUACCAUUGGUGGAAGCAUUAGAGCAAAUUUUUAACUAUGUGAAAUUCAUUAAAGAUAUCCUAUCCCAGAAGAGAAGGUUAGGGGAGUUCAAAACUGUUGCACUUAUUGAAGGGUGCACAACAAUGGUGAAGAAGAAAUUGCCAUCAAAAUUAAAAGUUCCAGGGUGUUUCACUAUACCCUGUUCGAUUGGAAACCAUUAUGUAGGUGAAUCAUUAUGCGAUUUAGGUGCAAAAAUCAAUCUAAUGCAUAUUUCUAUUUUUAGGAAACUUGGGAUAGGAAAGGGAAGACCUACUAUAUUCACACUACAACUAGUUGAUAGAUCAUAUGUCCGUCUAGAAGGUAAAAUUGAAGAUGUACUAGUAAGAGUUGAGAAGUUCAUCUUUCCAGCAGAUUUUAUUAUUCUGGAAUGGGAAGCAGAUAAAGAGGUACCUAUAAUACUUGGAUGACCUUUCCUAGCAAAUGGUCAAACAUUGAUUGAUGUACAGAAAGGUGAUUUAACCAUGACAAUUAAUGAUCAAUAGUUUACUUUUAAUGUGUUUGAUGCUCUAAAGUGUGCAGGCCCAGAUGAAAGAUGCCAUGUUAUAGAAUUUGUUGACAUCGUAAUUUAGGAAGAAUUUGCAGGAAAUAUGCACGACAAUUCUAUUGUAGGCUCUGUCGAAUUAAAUGAAACAAGUUUGACUGAAGAAUCUAAAGAAUUGAUGAAAACUCGACAAUUUGAAAAUGGAAGCAGCAGGAGCUUUGAAUCAUUAUAUUUAUCAAGUAUGCUUAAUUGGGAGAAAACAACACACUGCCUGUAUUUAUUUCUAUCGAGCUUACAACUUAUCAGGAGAUACAGUUACUGCAGGUCGUAAAAAAAAUCCAAGAAAGCUUUAGGAUGGAUAAUUGCGGAUAUCAAAUGAAUAAGCCCAGCAAUCUGCAUGCACAAAAUAAUACUUGAAGAUUACCAUGGCAAAUCUAUUGAACAUCAAAGGAGACUAAAUCCUUCCAUGAAGGAAGUAGUUAAGAAGGAGAUUAUCCAGUAGUUGGAUGCCUGGAUUAUAUACCCAAUUUCGGAUAGCUCUUACGCGAGCCCUGUUCAGUGUGUACCCAAGAAGGGAGGAGUCACAGUAUUCAGCAAUGAUAACAAUAAACUCAUUCCCACAUGUACUGUCACAGGUUGGAGAGUUUGUAUGGAUUAUCGAAAGCUCAACAAAGUAGCGAAGAAGGGUCAUUUCCUUUUACCUUCUAUAGUAUAGUUGAUGGACAGACUAGUAAGGAAAGCCUUCUACUAUUUUUUAAAUGGCUACUCAGGGUACAACCAAAUUGCCAUAUCUCGUACCGAUCAAGAAAAAACCACACUUACCUAUCCUUAUGGAACAUUUGCUUUCAGAAGAAUGCCUUUUGGGUUAUGUAAUGUCCUGACAACAUUCCAGCUUUGCAUUAUGGCAAUGUUUUUUGACAUGGUGGAGAAAUUCCUUGAAGUAUUCAUGGAUGAUUUUUCGGUGUUCGGCAAUAAUUUUAAAGAUUCCUCAAAAAAUUUGGAGUCAAUACUUUGUCGAUGACAAGAAACAAAUCUUGUGGUGAAUUGGGAAAAAUGUCACUUCAUGGUUUUCGAAGGCAUUGUUUUGGGCCAUAAAAUUUCACUGCAAGGAAUUGUAGUCGACAAAUCAAAAAUAAAAGUCAUUGACAAGAUGCCACCACCCAAUUCAGUGAAAGGAAUUAGAAGCUUCCUUAGGCAUGCUACAUUUUACCGUCGCUUCAUCAAGGAUUUUUCUAAGAUAUCAAAACCUCUAUGUCAAUUGUUGGAGCAAAAUAGACCAUUUCAUUUUAAUGAGUUAUGCUCAAAGGCAUUCAAAGAGUUAAAGGAAAGAACAACUAUAGUACCCAUAGUCACUGCAUCAGACUGGACUCUACCAUUUGAACUAAUGUAUGAUGCAAGUGAAUUUGUUGUUGGAGUAGUGCUAGGGAGAAGAAAAACCAUGAUGUUUCAUGCAAUAUAUUAUGCUAGUCACACACUGACAGGUUCACGAUUCAACUAAACCACCACGGAGAAAGAAUUGUUAACAAUGGUGAUUGCCUUUGAAAAAUUUAGAGCCUAUUUAGUAGGUAUCAAGGUCACAGUUUAUAUAGAUCAUUCUGCCAUCAAAUACUUGGUGGCAAAAAAAGAGGCAAAACCUAUACUUAUUAGAUGGAUAUUGUUGUUGUAGGAAUUUGAUUUGGAAUUUAAAGAUAAGAAAGGCACUGAAAAUUAAGUAGCUAAUCACUUGUCACAACUGGAAGCGGGGAAUUAGUAUGGUGAGGAUCAAAUGAUUACAGAAGAAUUCCCUGAUGAGCAGAUAUUGUUGGCUAUGACAUUGCCAUGGGAUGCUGAUAUUAUUAACUUUGUAGUCAGUGGGUUGUUGCCACCUAGCUCCAUUAUCACAGACAAAGGAAAUUCCUUCAUGAUGUCAAGCAAUAUUAUUGGGACAAGUCAUUUCUAUUCAAGUAGUGUGCAGAUCAAGUAAUUCGAAGAUGUAUUAAAAAUGAUAAAUUUCAAAGUAUAUUGCAUCACUGUCAUUCUGCAUCUUAUGGUGGACAUUUUGGAAGCAUGAAAAGUGCUGUAAAAGUUAUCCAAUCUGGUUUUUAUUGGCACACCAUGUUUAAAGAUGCUAAUGAGUUCUGUAAAAACUAUGAUCGCUGUCAAAACACUGGUAACUUAUCAAGAAGACCUGAGAUGCCACUGUAAUACAUUUUAGCGGUAGAUUUACUUGAUGUUUGGGGAAUUGAUUUCAUGGGUCAAUUUCUACCAUCCAAGGGAAAAAUCUAUAAAAACCUAUAUUCUUGUCGCUAUGGAUUAUGUCUCCAAAUGGGUUGAAGCUGUGGCCUUACCAACAAAUGAUGUCAACACUCUGAACUGAUAUUGAGUUAAACAUAAAAUUGUCAUGGCAUAUCAUCCACAAACAAAUGGACAAGUUGAAAUUUCCAACAGAGAAAUCAAUCAGAUUCUGGACAAAAAUUUCAAUCCCAAUCGCAAGGAUUGGUCAAUAUUGUUAGAUGAAGCCUUGUGGGCUUAUCGAACAACUUUCAAGACACCAUUGGGAAUGUCACCUUUCAAGCUUGUCUAUGGUACACCAUGACAUUUGCUAGUUGAGUUAGAGCACAAAGCAUUUUGGAGAAACAAAAAUUAAACAUGGACUAGGGUGCUGCUGCUACUCAUCGCCUACUGGAGCGCAAUGAGAUAGGUGAAUUUUAAGCUCAAGCCUAUGAGUAUGCAGGAUUGUACAAAGAAAAGACAAAGUACUGGCAUGACAAGAAUAUUUUGCCACGGCAAUUUGUACCUAGACAACAAGUCUUUCUUUUUAAUUCCAGAGUUAAACUAUUUUCCUGGCAACUUAAUGUCGAGAUGGUCUGGACCAUUCGAAGUUCAACGUAUAUAUCCUCACAGAGCUAUCGACGUUAAAGAUGGAAAAAUAGGAUCCACUUUUAAAGUCAAUGGUCAACACCUGAAACACUAUUUUGGAGCUCCUAUAAUGUGUGACAAAAAUUUCCUUUUUGUUAUUCACUUAACUUUAUUUUACUUUAUUUUUAUUUUUAUUCACUAAACUCAUUUAAUUUUUCCUUUUUGUUACAAGUUUUACCCUUGGGCCAGAAUAAGUACAGAUUAAGAGAAAAAGAUUUAAGAAGGCUGUUAGUAAAACCAUUCAAUCUGACAUUAAUGACCAGGACAGGCUGCAAUGUUACAAGAAAGCUAUAAAGAAAUCCACCCAACCCAAUUGAAGUAAUUUUUUUCCUCUAUAAGCUUUAAUUUUAUUUAUUAUAUAUUUCAUGAUAAUUCAUUUUUGUUUUUAUCUGUUUUAUGUAUUAAUAUAGUUGUUAUUCAUUUUGUUUUGUCAUAUUCAUGCAUUGAGGAUAAUGCAUCCCUUAGGUCUGGGAGUGUGUUGUGCAUAUAAAUUGCAUUAUUAAUUGUUCAUACAGUUUUUUUUUAUGUUUUUGCCAUAACGUUCAAUUGCCAUUUAACUACCGGAUUAUGUGAGUAUAUGGUUAUCAAUGAGGAUAAUAAUUCUUCUUUGUAAACUUAGAAAAUAGGGUGACAGUUGUUUAGGCAUGUUUAGCACAGGGCAGUUGUUGAAAAUGACUUUCUAAAAGUAGAAUAAUUGAAAUAUAAAUGCAAUUAGGUUAUAGUAGCAUUCUUUGAAUAAAUUUAGGACUUCUUGUCUUAAUUUCAGUAUAGUAAUAGGGUAUAAUUUUUUCAUGGUAUAAUAAUAUGAAUACUCUAAUAUUUCAACCUGUUGAGUAGUUCAGUAAUAUUUUGUUUUCUCCAUUAUAUUAUUGACUAGAAAAAUGAGUUCAAAUAUGAGUAUUUGUCUAAAAAAUAAAUAAAUGUACAUAUUCUAGGGACACUCCACUAAAUCUUGAGGCUAAAUUGCAAAGAAGAUAGUUGUUUGCUCCAUCCAUCUUUUUUGUUAGAAGCUUUGUUUCAUGAGUGAUUCAUAUUCAAAUUCUAACAUGAUAUAAUAUGUGGCAGUCGAGUGUGUGCUCCAUUGAGGUUGUCAAGUAUAUAAUCAAAUGACAAUAUGAAAUCCUUAGGAAAUUGUGUUGAAAAUUGAAUAAUAUGCUAAAAAAAAGAGUUUAGAAAAGAGAUAACCUAAAUAUAUUUUGAAAAAUCUACUAUAGUUUUAAUUGCUAAAACAUUUAGAGAAUUUUACCUUUAGGAACCAUUUUCUACACUGCAUUUGCUAAAUAGGUUUACAAUAAUUAUAAGCAUUUUUUUUUCUGUGUUUCAGUAUAAGGUUGGUGAGAAUAGAGAUACAUAGUAUGCUUAUAACGAUUUGGUAGUAAAAUUUGUGACUGAUUGUUUUGGCAAUUCCAUGCGUUCAUGUAUAUUCAAACAUCAUUUGCUUGAGGACAAGCAAUAAUUCAGGUUUAGGGGUGUGAUAGCUCUUGAAAAGGUUACAUUUAAGGCCUCUAACUAGAAUUAAUUGGUUGUAAUUAAGUGAAUACAUUUUCAUUUUUAGGAUAUUUUUAGAACAUUGUAUAAAAAACCUUAGAUUGUGACAUUGGUCAUCGUUUGUUACUUCUAUCACUUGGGGAAGAAAGUUGAGGUUUUGUGUUAACACAGGUGUAAGCAGAGCAACAAUAAAGUGGGAAAAUAUUGCUGUUGGAAUUACUAGAAUUGAUUGCCAAUAGAAUUGCUAGGGAAAUUUUGGGAAGAUCACUUAGAACUUUAUCCACAUCAUUCUUAGCCAGGUAUUCUGUACAAGAAAAUUGAACCUAAAAAGAGGAAUGAAAAAAGUGUGUUGAGAUGGGAGAGAUCUACCCAAUAAAAGAAGGAAAGAGAAGAAGAAAAAGAAGAGGAGAAUUUGUGUGAGAAAGAGACUUGUGAUAACAAUCCUCUCUCUACACAGAGAAAAUCUCCAUUCGAGAAUUUUAGAGAAAGAAAGCGUAGCAAUUACUGGGAGUAGAAUACAAACGUAAAGAAGGGGAAGAGACAUCUAUUCUUGAUUCACUUACAAUCAAAAGAUAAAAGAGAAGUUGGAGUGUCAUGAGAAAUCCAGCAGUUCUGCCUUUAGUUUUCCUGAUUUUUAUGAUUCAAAAAUUAUUUAAAUGUUGAUGAAUGUUUUUAACUUGGUGUUAACUUUUCCACCCAUGAAGUAAAUCUUUCCUGGGUUGGAGUUAUUUGGGUGAAUUUUCUAUCAUCUUUAAUGUUCAUGACUUGAGAUUGUCUAUGCCACUGUUUUAUUCAAUUUUUUCUUAUUCUAAAUACAUGCAUGCAAGCUCUAGAUAUAGUUGAUUGUGUGUUGUGUUCUUUGAUUUAUUUUUAAUUCCAAAAAGGUUAAAUAUACUAGAUCUAGAAUCGUUUGAGGCAAGCAAAUAUUUGACGAAAUAUUCGUAGCACUCUAGACAUAGAUGUUGUGAGUUGUACAAAGAAGAACAUUGCAGUUAUUAAUCAAGAGUUCUGUAAACGUACAGUAACUAGAUUUUGAGCUUAAAAUCUAGCUAUCGAAAGAGGCAGGUUAUUGGGCCCUUAUUUUCUAAGAUUUCCUCACCAGCACGGGGUACAAUUCCUCGUUGCUGGCACAAUAACAUCAUCAGUGAUGGGAAAACUAAGAUCCCAGUUUACCUUGCAGCGUAGUCAGCUAUUUCUUGGUGAAGUAUUGUACCCACUUUAAUUUUUCGACCCUUGACAAUAGAAUGUAUCAGACACAUUCUGUCUAGGGUGACUAUGGUGCUGUAAGUAGAGGGCUUUAGUCUACAGUUGACAAAGAAAAACCAAAUUUCCAAACUGCUCCCUCGACACACAAGUCUCUCAUCAACAGGUCUCAUUUUUCAUCUGUGAUGUCAUCCAUGAACUCGGAGUGUUCGUUGACAUCAACCUUUGUGUUGUACAGCUCGUUGAUAUUUGUAGCGUCCCAUGGUAUUAAACCUUCUCGAAUGAAAGUAAACUCUAACUCAUGAUCAUAGAGAUUGGUAUAGAAAUCACAUACUAGUGAAGGCGAGUAGCUUCCAAUAUGGCUGUAAAAAGCUUCCCACUUUAACUUCGAGAUGGUUUUGAAGACUUGUUUACCCAAAUCUUGUUGCGGCAAAAGAGAAAUUCCCUGCUCGAGAUCUCAAGUGACCAAUUCCCCAUUUUCUGAAAGUAGAUAGUGGCAUUAGGUUAAUGCUAGCUCCCAAGUCGCAUAAAGCCUUACCCAAAUAAUGAUUUCCAAUUGAACAUGGGAUUGUAAAGCUCCCAAUAUCUUUUAAUUUAGAGGGUAACUUGUUCGUCAAAAUAGUACUACAGCCUUCUUUGAGUGCAAUAGUUUCAAUAUCAGUGAGCUUUUACUUCUUGGACAAUAGGUCUUUCCUAAAUUUCCCAUAACUUGGAAUUUGUACCAGAGCAUCUACUAAAAGAAUCUUGAUCUGCAAUUGCUUCAGUGUGUCCAGGAACUACUGAUACUGCUUUUCAUACUUAUUCUUCCAGAAUCUUUGUGGGAAGGGUAAAGGUAGGGAUAUAUCUGCUUGCACUGACACCUUUGAUUGCGUCGAAUAUUUCGAAAGUUGGAUAGUAGGCAUAUGAGUUACAAUUUGUGGAACUUCUUUGCCUGAUGCAUUGAUAAAUUCUUCAGGUUCAACCUUCUCACUAGUGAUCACUCCAUCCGUAUCUUGAGGUGCUAUAGUAGAGUCGAUAAACGGUUUACUGGUUUGUUUACCAUUCCUAAGAGUGAUAGCCUUAGAAUGUUCUUUCCCCCUCGGACCAGGAUUUUUUGUGUCACUAAGUAAUGAACCUGGUGGUCGAGUAUUCAGAUUUGAAGCAUGUUGUAUUAACGGUGCCUCCAAUGCUCGAAUGGAAGAUGAAUUCGCUUGGACGAUAGCUUCUGUGCGAGUAAUAUGCUCCCGUAUUCAUGCCUCAAGAGUUGCUAACAGGUCAGAAGUAGAAGCUUGAGUGUACAGUUGUUGUCGAUGUCCUUGAAUAUGUUAAUUUGGUAUUGAAGAGUGUUAUGGCUGCAUCAAAUUUUUGUGUGGAUGUGUCUGGUCUUGUUUUGGAUGCAUCUGAGUGUGCUGAUUGUAGUUCUGCUGUUGUUGAUUGUAAUUUCCUUUUCUUGGAUUAUAAUUGCCCUAAGUAGAUGUAUUCUCAUAUCUGAAUGUUGCAAUAUUUUGUCUAGCAUUCUGAGUUCCCUAAAAGGAUUGGUUGCGUGCAGAGUUGUUUUAAGAAUUUCCACAUGAAUUGUUGCAGAUGUUACUAAUAUAACAGGCAUUCUUUGCAUGUUGUGGACAAUCUUCAUAACUAUGGUUGUCACUGCAAAUCUCACAAGAAAAAGUAGGAACAUCAACUUGCUGAGUCACUUGUAUAGGUGCAACGCCACUCAUCCCUUGCAUAUUUUUAAUCAUGUUUGUGGGAGAAGAAACUUGAGCACUUAGUGCGAUUAUUGCAUCCAAUUCAAUAACUCCUGGAGUAGUUUUUUCUUGUGUAGCUCUAGAGACAGGGUAUUGAUAAUCAUUCUAAGCAAUUCUAUCAAGAAUUCUAGUAGCAUUAUUAUAAGUACAAUCCAACAGAGGUCCAUUGGCUGAUGCGUUAACAAGAUUUCUUGUAUGUGAAUUUAGCCCAUUAUAAAAAAUCUCGAUUUACGUUUUUGGUUGAAUGCCGUACAUGGAUCGUCGAAGUAAGGAUUUAUAACGUUCCCAUGUGGUGUGAAGAUUUUUAUCUUUCAGUUGAUGAUAAGCAAUAAUAUCAUUUCAAAGACGAGCAUUCAUUGUCGGUGGGCUAAAUCGCAAAACAAAUUCUGUUGCUAGUGCAUCCCAAGAAGUAAUUGAUCUGGAAGGUAGUCCAAAAAACCAAGUACGUGCUCUUCCCUGUAAGGAAUAAGGAAAUAAUGGCAUCUUCAAGGCAUCAUCAGGAACACCUUGUUGACUAAAGGAAGCACAGAUCAGUAAAAGGGUUUAAGAUGUUCUCUUGCAUCUUCAUGUGGCAGUCCAACAUAUUUUUCAUUAGAAUUCAGCAAUUGAAACAUUACUAGCUUGAGUUUGAAAUUCCCAGCUUGGAUUGCUAGCCUAACAACUCCUGGUUGCAAAUUAUCCAAGACAGGUACUACAAAAUCUCGUAUUGUCCUAUUUUGUAUGCGAGCAUAUUGCGGCAACAAUGGGUUAUUAACAUUUAGCUACUGCAUUAGGGGUGUGGCUGCAUUGUUACCUGGUAGGGUCGUAUUUCUUUGCUCUCGAAGUCUAUUCCAAACAGUCCUUUCAAUUUAUAGAUCAAAAGAGAGAAGAAAGUUUGAAUUUCUUCGGGUCAUAAAACACUUAAAAUGAAGUUAAAUAAAUAGCAACGAAGAAAAGAAUCAGUUAGUGAAUACUAAAUAUUAUAUAAGGAAAAUAAAGUGUAAAAACACACAAAAACAAAAAUAAACAUCAAACAAACGCCAUCCUCGGUAACGUUGCCAAAAACUUAAUCGGUUGUUGAACGUCACAGCAACAAUGUGCAAGUGUACACUGUCGAUGCAAGUAUAGUAGAUUGAUGUGAGUCUGUCGAAUAUCAAUCCCACAGGGAUGGGUGUCUUUUGUCUAUUAAUAUCGGUGCAAUAAAUUGAUAAUAACGAGAUGAAUUGUAAGGAUAGUUGCCGAUGCAAUAACUUGAGAGCAAUAAAAUAAAAUAUGAUAAUGCUAAACUGGGAUCCCCAACAUGAAUCUUCAGUAGAAUACUAAGUGCUCACAAGGUACAAAAGUAUAGGUGAUUGUCGAUGCAAUAAAAUUCAAUGUAUACCUUACUCAGUAUUACUCCUCUAUUUAAUCUCAGACUUCACCAUGCAUAUUAACCUCACCUUCUAGUCAUGGCAUUAUGGCACUAUUAAGAACAAGUGGACUAAAUUCCUCUAAUCCUCACUUAACUUCUGUUGUAAUGCUUGUUGGCUCAAAUUGUCACUGCACUUUCCAGUGUCAGUGACUGCAAUAACACUUCUGUGUUAAAAAUUUCAAACCCCAAGAUUAAACAAUAAAAACAAGCUUAAAUAAGAUAACAAUUCACCAAGAAUUCAUCAGUACUUCCAUACAAUCAUAUAUUAGACAGUAAUCACCAGCAUUUAGAAAGAAAUAAGAAAGAAUCGAAUGGAGAAUACUAUCCCUAGACAACUCGACUAAAUCUCUCUAUUCCCUCUUGUCACACACUUAGGUCUCUUAGUCAGGACCUAGUCUGCAUCUGGUAUUCACGUUGGCUCACCUGUGAGAGGUUUAAGCUUCCAUGGCCGCAAGCUCCGAGGUCUGAUGAUGAAGAUGAAGAUGAAGAUGGAGAAAAAAAACUAAAGAAGACCCCUUUUUCUUUUCAUGUCCAUCUUUUAUGUCCUCCCCACAAUACAUGUGUCAUUUCCCUAAAAUUAUUCUGUCCUUGUUCGUAUAGGUUGGUGUAUAGGUUGGUUAUACUAGACUGGACAGCUCACACAAUUUUGGUUCUUAUCCAAACAGCUGCCAGGUGCGGUGACAAUUCUUAAUGCAAUCUGGAAUUUACCCAUGCAACAACAUUGCAGACACCUGUCAGGUGCGGUGACCAUUCUAGACACAAUCUAAAAUUAACUCAUGCAGCGACAUUAAUGCAAUAAGAUAACAAAAUUAAGGACAAAAUAGGCUAGGAUUCAUUGAGUUAUAAAAUGCAUUUUACUAAACUGAAAAUGCUAAAAUGUAUGCUAAGAAUAACUAAAUGGGAACAAUUUAACCAAUAAGUAGGGGGAAACCUAUGUUCGUUCUCGUGCUAUCAUAUGCUUAGGGGAUAUUUAGCAAAAUUCCACAAAAUUGUCCAUAGGUAUUGAUACUGAUAUCCAGGUAUCAAUAACUUCCUAAAGUGGUAUCGCCACCACUUGAAAAAACCAUACCAAUUGAGCAUUCUAUUUAUCAAUUUAAAAACCCAUCUAUCGAAAAAUAUCGGUACCACAGGAUGAAGUAUCGAUAUUUAUCCCCGAAUAUCAAUACUCGAGCAAAGGUAUCGAUACCAAAUCCCUAUUCUGUUUCCCGUACGUUUUAUCACAGAGGUAUUGAUUUUUAAAGCCCAAUAUCGAUACCGCUGCUACUGGAGCUAAAAAUACAGCAUAGUAAGGCACAUAAUUCAUCUUAAAUAAUUCCUAAACAUCAUGCAUCAUGUACUAAGUUAAAAAAAAUUUCAUACAGCUCAAUCAAUAAUACAAAAUAAGAAAAAUGAUUCCUACCAAAUAUCAUCCUGCUAACAUCAGUAUUCAAUAUUCCUAACAUAAAAAUAACACAAAAUUCUUAUAGGUAAAUCAAAAUGGUAAAACUCAAUAUCUCAAAAUAGUUCUACCCCAUUGCCAAAUUUCCCGAAAUGAAUAAUAAAAUAAUGAAUCACCUACGAAGAAUAACCAGACUUCCUUAGAUCACUCCCUUGAAAUCCACAUCGCCCACUCCAAUGACACUAAUCUGCAAAUGUUGAAAUGAGGGGAUAAGCUUUUAGAAGCACAGUGAAUGCAAGAAUGUCCACAACAUAAACACAUCAUCAUGCAACACAACCAAAAAUUUAUUCACAAGUAGUACAUUCUUAAGUCUAGCAUCAUACAAUACUAAACCAUACAGAGUCUAAAGGUCAUUCUCAUAGCACAUAUAGAUAGUCAUUCAAGCAUAGGACAUAUUCCACACAAUUAUAUAACAUAAGAUAUAAAAUCACUUGGAUUAUGGAACAUGUAGUGAGCUCUAUCAUCACACAUCGGAUACACGGAUCUCCUUAUACAACAUAGACUUGUAGAGUCAAACAUGUCCCAAAAGUAUAGUGUAUAGCUAACACUCUCCUUAUUACCCCUCACAUGUCCCGUUGAAUGGAGCUUGGCUCACAUUUCCUUAUCCCUCCAACAUGUCUCAGAGCCUCAAUGCUCAACACCUCUAUACAUAUAAGUGAGUACUCACAAUCCUGUGCCAUGCCAACUAUAUCUAAUGGUUCCAAGAUCACAAGGCCAAAAUAUCCGGAAGGCAUCACAUAUUACUUAUCGAUUAACCAUGCACUACCAUUGUGUAUUAACAUCACUUGCAAAACACUAGCAUAGUCAUAUAACAUAUAUAUUACACAUUUAUCACAUGUAUAUAAUUGUACUUUACACAAUGAGAACCAUAUCCACAUAUCACAUAUCAUGCAUAUUAUACCGCCAGAAGGCAAGUAUAGUUCAAGAAAACUUACACUCAGAACAUAGAGUAAGGGUUUAGGCUACAUCUAAAUUCCCGAUAACGCAUGACUUGUGUUUACAAGUAGCAAUUCUAUACACUCACCACUUUAUGCUUUUGUCAAAAAUCGAAAGCUCAACUAACGUUUCUCUAGCUCGUAGCAAAUUCUAACAAAUCCAAAGCUUUACACAUAUACAUCACACAAUAACCACAGUCAAAUAUCAACCCAUAAUCUACUCAAACAAACUAAGACACAAGCUUUAAGCUAAGUUCUCAUGUGACUUAAACUAUUAACAUAAUCAACUUUAUAUACUAAUAUCUCGACCUAUACUCAACCUUUUUGCUUAAAAUAAAUUUCGUUCAUCUACUUAAUCAUCUACACCUAAUUCGCAACUUUCAAAAUAGCCAAAUCUACUCAAUUCAUGGUAUCUACAUUUUUUGACAUCUUUUAGGCAAUUUUCAUAAUAUUCAUUAAAAUAGGAGAAAUCAUUAAUGAAAUUCUAAAUAAGUUUAAAAACCUUUCAAUCAUGCUAAAAUGAGUAGAAAAACAUGUUAUAACAAAUUUUUUAUGCAAAACCUCAAAAUCCACCAUUAAUGGCUCGAUUUUUGGCUUUUAUUUCAAACAUACGAUUUGAGGGCUAACAAGUCAGGUUUAGAGUCUAAAUAACAUUAGCAACUUAUGAAUUCAUGAAUGAUUUCCUUUGGUAGAAGAAUGAACAAGCUUUGACAAAAAUUUGGAAACCCCAUGUAUGAAGAAUAUGAUAAAAUAUAUGGAGUUUUUCGGUGUUUUUCUUGAAGGUUUAUGGUACUAAGCGACUUAGGAAUGAUAGAAAAUCAAUACAUUGUGAUUUGGAAUAAAAAAAUUGAUUGAGAAAGCAAGGGAAUAUAAAGGGGUAGCAACUACAACUUUGAAACAACAACUAUCAUGAAUUUUUUUGCUGAAAGUUAGGGUUUUUAGGUUCAAUUUUAAAAACUCGUCUAAUUGCCACAUGAAAGCUCACAGUUUUGACUAUGUUACAAAUCAAUCCUUUUUCAAAAUUAAGGGUUUCUAGAACACUUUUUCAAAAAUUGGUUUCACAGUUAAGAUGCCAUAGUCGAACACACUAUCGAGUACCAACCUUACAAAAUUUGGAGCUCAUACAGACCAAAAUUCCUAAAAUACCCCUAAAACUCCUAGGCCUUAUUUUGGGGUGUUACAAAAUCCACCUCUAAUGGUUGUUUUUCUUGAAUUUGCUACAACAAAGUUGGCCACACUUGAAGUUUAGCACACAAACCACAAUCACGAGCUAAACUCAAGCACGCAAGCAUAGCUCUUAACUCCAUCAUCGACUUCCUACUCAAAGCAUCAGCAACAACAUUCGCCUUGCAGGGGUGAUACUCAAUCACACAACCAUAGUCCUUUAAAAGCUCAAUCCAACGCCUUUGACUUAAAUUUAAAUCUUUUUGGGAGUGGAGGUACUUAAGGCUCUUAUUAUCAGUGUAAAUCACACACUUUUGUCAAUAAAGAUAAUGGCGCCAUAUCUUCAGCACAAACAGCACAGCACUAACUCAAAAUCAUGAGCAGGAUAGUUUUAUUCAUGUGUUUUCAACUGCCUUGAAGCAUAAGCCACAACUUUACCCUCUUGCACCAACACACAACCGAGCCUUGUUUAUGAAGCGUUACUGUAAACCACAAAAUAUUUUUCAUGUUGCAGUUGAAUCAACACAGGUGCCUUCAUCAACACUGCCUUAAGCUAAUUGAAACUCUUCUGCCUUUCACCAGUCUAUUCGAACACCACACUCUUCUAAAGUAUUUUUGUUAAGGGUGUAGCAAUGAGAGAAAACCCUUCAACUAAUCUACGAUAGUAACCAGCUAAACCUAAGAAACUUCGAACUUCCUUAACACUCCUAGGUGGCUUCCAUUCUAAAAUUGCCUCAAUCUUCUUUGGGUCUACACGAAUCCCUUCUGUCGAAGCCACAUGACCUAAGAAUGUCACUUCCUUAAAGCUAAAAUUCACAUUUACUCAACUUCACAAACAACUUUUUAUCCUGAAUAAUUUGUAGAACAACAAUUAAGUGCUCAUCAUGAUGCUCUUCAUAACGAGAAUACACUAAGAUGUCAUCUAUGAAGACAACCAAAAACUAAUCCAAGUAUGAAUAAAAUGAUCGGUUUAUCAAAUCCAUGAAUCGGCAGGGGCAUUAGUUAAUCCAAAUGGCAUCACCAAAAACUCAUAAUGCUUAUACCGAGUCCGAAAAAUAGUUUUCAACACAUCCAACUCCUUUACCUUCAAUUGGUAUUACCCAGACCUUAAAUCAAUAUUUGAGAACAUCAUUGCACCUCGAAACUGAUCAAAGAAGUCAUUAAUUCGAGGAAAGGGAUACUUAUUCUUAAUAGUUAACUUCUUCAACUACCUUUAAUUAAUGCACAUCCUCAAGGUACCAUCCUUCUUCUUCAAAAAUGAAACUGGUGCACCUCAUGGAGAUACACUUGGCCGAAUGAACCCUCUAUUAAGAAACUCUUGCAACUGAAUCUUCAAUUCCUUGAGCUCCUUUGGGCGCAUACGAUAGGGUGCAAUAGACACCGGUGCAAUACCAGGAUAAAGCUCAAUACCAAACUCAACUUCGCGAUCCAGUGGCAAACCAGGCAACUCUUUAGGAAAUACAUCAGGAAAGUCCCUAACAGUACGAAUAUCAUGAUCUCUCAACUCCUUACUAAUUGAACUUAUCACGUAGGCUAAGUAAGCAUCACAACCUAUUCCUAUCAUCUUUUCAGCCUUCAUUGUCAAAACCAUAUUAUACAUAAAACCCGAUCUUUCACCCACAAUAACUAUUUCCAAACCAUCACUAUUCCUUAAAGUAAUUCAUUUCGUAUCAAAUUAUACCUUAGCCUUAUUCUCAAUCAACCAAUAUAUUCCCAAAGUAACAAACUCUAUCAUUACUUCUACCACGACCUUGUCCUCUAGUAGGUGUAAAAACAAGUAUCGAACUCUGAGUCUGCGAAAACUCUACUCUAUUUGGGUAACCCCUCAGAAAAUGUUCCUUUGAACCACACUUAUAGCAGCCACCAGUCAACUUACGACACUCUCCAAGAUGUGUAAAAUCAAAACGAGAACAAAACUGUCAUCUAGAACCACCAACCGAACCACCUGUGCUAUUCACCACAUUGCUCUACUACCUAGACUGACUUAGUCGAGUCCCACGUUUUGCACCUCUACCAGAACUAUAAUUAUCACACCCUCUCUUUGGUGGACAUCCUAAAGCACCAUCAAAAACCCUCUUACUAGUAUCAACCACCAUAGAACGAGUUGGCUCAGCCAAAAUCUCCUCCACAGCCUUGGCUUUUCCAACAAGCACAUUAAACAACUCUGUAUUUUAGGCCAUUAAAUAAACCUAACGAUAAGCCAUAAAAGUAACAUGUUUUUAAUCCUAUUCUUGAUGUGUUUUUGGAUUAUUUAUAAUGUAAAUUAGUGAAUUUGAUGCUCCUAAUCCUUUAAAUCCAUGUUUCUAUACUUAGGUGAGCAUAGGGAAGUGACAAGAGCGAAAAAUCAGCCAAAAUCAGACAAAAAGAGUUGUUUUCAGGAUCCACAUGGCCUAGGCAUUUCCACACGGGCAAGGCACACGCCCGUGUGAGCCACACGAGCUAGCCACACGCCUAUGUGCCAGUCUGUGUCGAUCUCGCGCCCUACUUCUCUUUUAUGCAAAAAACUUAAUUUUUGGGGUUUCUGAGCAUUCUAAAGUUUAUAAAUAUAUAUUAGAAGAGGACCUAAGGGGAUAGACAGAGAAGACUGAAGAAAAGACUCGAAGAACGCCAUCAAAAUCAUCUUAGAAGUGAAUCUCCUUCAAGAUUAAAGACCUCCAUUUAAUUUCUUUAGAAGUUUAUUUGGGUUCUUUAUGUCUUGUUGUUAUCUUAACUUUGAGAUGUUUCUAUUUAGGAUGAUGAACUAAAUUCCGUAAAUACCUAGGGAAGAUAAAACCUAUGAUGAAUCUUAUUAUUUGAUUUUUGAUUCACAUGAUAAAUACUUGAUUCUUGUUCUCAAUUAUGUAUGAUUAUUUCAUGGUUUAGUAAUCUAAGGAUAUUAAUUCAUGUUUAAUGUGCUUUUUUGAGUGGAGAAAAAGUCCUUAUUUAAGAGUAAAUCUAGCAUAAUUGAGUGGAGUUGCAUGCAAUCAUAAAAAUAGGACGACAUAAAUCUAUCGGAUUAGAGUCAAAUCUAAUAUGGGAAUCCAUAGAUCGAGUUAAUGCGACAAUAGUGGUUUUAAUGAGAAAAAGAUUUUAAUUAAUGAACCUAGAGUCAGUUGUUCUUACUCUUGAAAGAGAUAUUAACAUAAUUUAGGGAUUUCUACGAAUCAAGACACAAGUGAAUAAAUCCUUUAAUUCAGAUUUAAAAUAAUAGGUGAAGUCUAGGUGGAUUCUUUCGUGGGUAUUGUCUCUCUCAUGGGUAUCUUCAAUUAUUUUCCUAUUUUAUUCUUUAUUGCUUUCUUAGUUAAAUUAGUUUAGUAAUUUUAGAAUAAAAAAAUCACUCUGAAUUGUUGGCUAAAUAAUAGAAAAACAGUAAUUACUAGUACUUUUAAUCCUCGUGGAUACGAUAUUCCCUAUUGUUCGAUAGGUGCGCUUGCUGGAACGACGGAAAUGUGCAAGUGUACACAAUCACAACAAGUAAUAAAGCAACAAGUAAAUGUCGAGUUAUCGUACCCACUGGGACUGUGAAAAGAAUUAUUUAUGAAUGCUAUUUAAAACACUUUGGUGAAGAAAAAUAUUUUGUUUCAAGAGGGUGAUUAAAAGCUAAGAUUUUAAACUAAAUGAACUAAAUAAAUAAAUCUCAAAUGCACGACUUCAAAAUACGAUUUCGAUCAAGAUGACAUAAUUGUGUUAGAUUAAUUAAAUUUCUUAACUUAGAAUUAUUAAACUCAUGUUUAUAUUGUUAUGAAUAAGUUCACGGAAACUUGGUAAUUUGCUAACUUAUGAACAUUCUCACCUACCAAAAUCCAUUUAUCUCUUCACUAUACCCCUAUGUCAAUUCAACCGAUUAAACAAAUCAUAAUAGGAAAAUAUGUUAUUGCACAUACAUAUUAAAUUAAAAUAAUCCCUUGUAGAUAUCCCUAUGUCAAUUUAAACAAUUAACUCUAUUUAAUAAGCACAUAAAAGACUAUGUGAGGUAACAAAGUAUCCUUACCUUGAAACAGUUUAAUCACUAUAAUCUUGCAAGUUAUGCAAGGCAAAUGUAUUGUCAGAUACCGUUGCUAAUCUAAUCAUCAACUACCUUAGAUGAUUAAACAUGCACUGAUUAAGUACUGUGCCCAUUAAUUACAAUUUCAAUCAAUUUAAAUAAUUAAUUCAUUAGUUAACUAACAAUUGUAAUGCAAGAAUAACGUAGUCAUGAUUUUACUUAAUCAAGCAUCUUACCGAGGCCUAUAACAACAUAAACACAAUUUCAAUAACUUUAACAAACGAAAUGUAAUCAACCUAACACGAAUUAAAUUCAACCUAAAUUGAUUAAAUUAAUCAUUCCAACAACAUAAAUAUUUAUAGAUAUGUUCAGCAUAACAAAAACAUAAAUUAAAGAGAUAGGGAACAAGAAUCAAAUCCGGUGUUUUUCCGUGGCUUGACUAGUUGCUCCGUUCUUCCUUCUCCGUUGUCCUCGUCAACCAAGGCUGCAAUGAAUACUUAAGUGCUACUCCAAAUAGCUGAUGAACGCCCUUUUGCCAACAGGAGAAAUCGGCAAGAGAGCAAGGGAAUUUUGGAAUGGAAAAGAAGAGAGAAACUGGAGAGAAGAGAGAAAAGAUGUAAAUUCUUGCGGUGUGUUUCCCAAAUGACCAGCCUAAGGGGGUUCUUAUAGCUGAGGAGGGCUGCUAAAAAUAGCUGAAAUUAUCAGCUAAAGAGUCGUCCCUUGGCCGGCCACACAUGUGGCAAGGUUGAUAGUUUCAACUUUGCUAAUUUAGGCUUGUGGUAAAUCAAUAAAGCCAACAAUUGUGGAGGGGUUUGAAUGCAACUUGAGCAAGUAUUCAAGGGCCUCUUUGUAAGCUUAAAAAAUUAGCUAAUAAGCUGAUUUGGGUAAACUCUUGGGACGGUUUUUGGGCUGUCCAUUUCUUGGUCGGUUCGGUUUAGUAGAUCUAGUUCAACUGGACCUCUUUUUCAUAAUUAAUUAAUAAUAAUUUAUUAACAUAAAUUAAAUUAGAUAUAAAUUAAAAUUAAUUAUAUUGUGAAUUAAUACAUAUAAUUUUGGACCGUCUUAGGCUGAAAUUUAGUUUUCCUCAAUACUUUAAAUUGCUUCUCGAUUUUGAGCUUCUAGUAGUGUCUGCCGAGCCAUUUUUCGCCAGUUGUGCAAAUCUGUCGAAAAUAACCGAAAUUCAUCAAAAUUAAUUGUAAAAUUAACUAAAAUUCAACAUGUUCACAUUUUAAGUGCAGUUUAAUUAUUUUUUAAAAAUUAAUUAUUUUUCAAUAAGAAUUUUAUUGAAACUGUAUAAUUUUAAGUUAAAAAGGAUAUGUAAAAAUGUGUAAAUUUUAGUGUUUCCACACCCCCAAACUUAAUUCAUUGCUCGUCCCAAGUAAUGCACAAAUUAAAAAGAAUUACUCAAAAAACACAUUUGAAAAUUUCCUUCAGAAUAACAUUCUUCCCGGAAUUAUGAAUUUAAUAUACUUAUGCUCAAAAAUAAGAAAUUUUAUAGUUAUGCUACUUAAGUAUACAUAUCGUUCAAAUUAAUCUCAACAACUAUUAUGAUAGCACAAUUAGACUAAAUGCUUCCUUAACAAGACAUGUUAACCCUUACCAAUUUGAUAUUAUUUCCUUAUUCAAGAUUAAGCUGCAAUCAUUAAGUUUAACUUAUGACUUCAUAUGUUGAACAUAGCAAUUUCUCUCCACUAAUGUAGGUAGCAUAGAAAACUUUAAUCAAUAGGUCUUUAAAAAGGUUGUAACAUAGCUAGGCUAGAGGUAGGUAAAAGAUAGAUAAAUUUAGGCUUUUAAGCCCUACACUCAGCUUCAAUCAGACCUUUAGAAUAAUUUCCCUCAAUACACCAACUUACUUUGCUUUCACAUGCUCCUUUGUACAUCUAUAUUCUUUCAAGUACAUGUGCUUUUUUUUAGCAUUUUACUGUAUGUACUACAAUUUUUAGAGCAUUUGAUACUUCUUUCAACUCCCACAAACUUAUUUUCAAAGAAUAUUCUGAAUAGUACUGAGUCUAGUGUUUGAGACAAUUUAAAGAUAAUUAAGAAAGAAUUGAUGGCUAAAUAUUACAAGGGUUCAAAUAAAAUUAGGCCAUAUAGUCUCAAAGUUGGGUUUCAAAGGAUAAAAUUUCAUCGAGGUUGGCUUGAAAGGCUCAAACGGCCCAAACAAGAGUUGCCUAAAUCAUUUUGAACAUUCCAUGCUUCCUAGGAUUUCACCUUAAGAAACUACUAAGUCAAUUCUAGACACUUAAACUUUCAUGCAUGCCUACCUUUCUUAAGGAACUAAAAAGUUUUAUGGUACGAUUUGCAUGCUUUAUUAAAAAUACAUUUAUAUCAUUAUUCAGCUAACAUAAAAAUUUAUUAAAAUAAUAGAACUUUAUUUAUACUGAAGUUUAGCAUACUUAACAAAAUUUCAAAUUAUUAAACAAAAUAUGUCCUAAUCGUAAUUAAAAGAACUAUAUAUCCUGAGUGGAAAUAAUUUCAAUUUUUCAGUCCCCCUACUUAAAAUGAACAAUGCCCUCAUUGUUUAAAGUGAAUAGAUAUUAUACACCAGAUAGCAUUCUAGAACAGAGGAGGUGAGUCAAUUUGACUGCUUAAGUACCAAGCUCUUUCUAAAUCCAAUCCUAGACAUGUAUAUAUCUAUUGCCACACUUUAUAAUUUGCCACUUGUUCAAUUUUAUUAAUGAUUUUCAUCCCUUGUUUUAUUAUGCAAAAAUUCAUAAUUAUCUUUAUCCUAAAAUAACCUAAGAACAUAAAUAAAAUAAAGUCGAGAUCCCCCUUUAUUUAUUUGCAGAUCCUUCUGAAUUCGACUUAUCUUUUGCUCCAUCAUUAUUGUCUUUGCAUGAAUCUCUUCGCUCCUUUUUCGAUAAUGCGCUCCAUGGUUCAAAAAUGUAAUCUGGAAACUCAGGAACAAAAAUAAAUGAGUCAUUGUAAAUUUUCGUAAGAGCACUUCUCAUUGAGUCAUCCCUUAUUUCUGAGUAUUUCCAGUAGGUUUGUUGCUGCGACUACAUAUGUUGCAUUAUGUCCAUCAAAUUUGAUAGCUUAUCUCGAAGAUCUGGGUGAGGUGGUUGAGCUCUAAACAUUGAAGUCUCGAUAUCAGGUUCAUCGUUUGGUUCCAUUGGUUCCACCUUAUCAGGGACUUCUACCAAUUACACUGGCUUGAUCUAUGUUGGAUCUUUUUCUUCUUUUUUUUUUGGAUCCUCACUUUCUUCAACUAGUUGCUGUAGAACAGAGUCUCCAGCUAUUCGAUAGAGGUCCCAAUCUAUGAUUGUGCCCUGGCAAUAGCCUAUCUUCUUUACGUUUGCAAGAAUUUUAGCUUUCAAGCACAUAAUUAUUAUUGUAAAGGGAAAGUAAGCUAGGCCAGAACGUGAACGUCUAACGACACAAAAUUCCAUAUUUCCCUCAGGAUACUUUUUCCCACAUCAAUGGUCUUCCCAGUUAAAAUUGAGUAUAAUAAGAUCAUUUGCUCUAAUGUGAUUGUAGUCCCAUGUGAGCUAGGCAUAAGGCUGAAUCGGAUGAAGUAUAACCAUACCUUUGCGAGUGGUGUCCAAUAUUCUGUUUGACAAGUGUGGAUUCCUUGCUUUGACACAGUCCACUUAAAACCUGGACCUGUAAGUUCCUUGAGAAUUUUUUACAAAUUUUCGGACUCUAUAUUGCUCAUCAAGGAGGAAUAUUCGUUGUUUUCAAAAUCAGGCAAUUCAAGAGCUCAUUAAUAGUGUUUGAAGUUAUUGGUACCUUGAUUCCGUGAACUGGAACUUCUGUCAACUUGCUUAAGGUUAAAUUCACAUAGAAUUCGCACACUAACUCCUCAUCCACACUAGGUCUCUUCUCACAAAACAACUCCAAAUUGAGAGUUUCAGCAACCUGACGAAUACGCGCUAUAAAAUAAUUAUAGUUGCUUUCUUUCAAUGUGAAACCUUUCUUUGGAUGCAUCUGUUGAUUCGUGAAGAUACUCUCAUAUCUUGCUUUGGCUUAUUCACAGUGGAACUUGUUUUGUGAUUCGUCAAUUUGGGCAAAUGCAUGAGUUCUCUUGUGGGGCAUGAUUAACCUGAUCAUAAGAUGGUAACAAUUAUUUUCUCAAAAAUUUAAUUAAUAUAAAAUAUUAAUAAUCCAGUAAAUUGAAAAAUUAGAUAAUUAAAUUAAAAUUUAGGAGAAAAAUUAGUCUUACCACCUUUUUUGUAAAAAUUAAAAGUUCAUAAGAAAAAUAAUUUGAAUCAAAAGAUGGAAAAUUAAAAUAGGUUGAGGGGAUUUUGUCUAAGGAUGGGUGAAAGGAUGGUGUGCCGCUCAGGUAUGCAAGGUAGCAGCGCGUAGUAGGGGAUGGAUGUGAGCAUCGUGAGAAUCGUUGAGUAGGCCAGCUGUGGGUGAGCGCGUGGUGCUGCUGACCGAUCAGCUAGGCGAUGCUGUGGCUAGGGAAUUGUUAGGAGGUUUCAACACUUAAGGGUUUUGGUGUUUUUGGAGGGAAUGGUGUAUGAAUGAAAAAAAAGAGAAUAGAUGGGUGGAAUUUAUAGUGAAAGGAGUAGGAGCUAGAGUAGAAUUCUUAAAAAUUUUAAGUUCUAAUUCUACUUAAAGUAAAUAACAAUUAAUAAUUAAUAUAAUGCAUAUUAAAUUAUUAUGUGCUAUUAAUUUAUUAAGAUAAAAACUUAUCGAAUAAAAUAUGAUUAAAUUAAAACUAAUUCUAACUCUAAAUAAAGCAGACAAUAAUAAAUAUAUAUUAUAAUGGAUAUAAUUAUAUAUUAAUAAUUUUUUUUCUUUUUUUCUUUUUUUUAUUGAACUAAAAACAUUUAUUUUAGAUGGUUUUUGAAAAUAUUUACAAAAAGAGGCAUCUAAUUUUUAAUAUUUACAAAAAGAGCAACCAAAUUUUUUAAAAAUAAUUCAAUUAAGUUCCUAGACUUAAUGAAAUUUCAAAAUUGAGUUGCAACAUAAAACUUGAUUAAAAUUGACCCUUUUAUUUGAAAAAAUAAAAAUUUUUUUUGUUAUUUAGGGAAUAAUUUCUUGGAAAAUUAUGUUAAAAUCAAUUCCCAAGAAAGAUUGGAGAGGUCACAAGCGAUCCCACUUAAGUUUCAAUCUCCUAGACAGAAUUUAUUUAAACAUGCUAAUCCUAAAAAUAUACUCUAAAUCAUUUAUUCAAACAGAAAAAUAAGAAAAAUUAAAUAUCUGAUAAAAUGAACGAGAUUUGAUUCCGUUUAAUUUUAUCUCCCAAGUAAUGCUUCAAGCAUUGAGCAUUAGCUCAAAAAUUACCUCCCUUACCUUGAAGUUCAACAACUCCGUAUGUAUAGACUCGAUGAAUCAUAAAUGGACUGGACCAACGUGAUUUUAACUUACUUGUAAAGAACCUUAAUCUGGAAUUGAAUAACAAGACUUGCUGGCCUGCUUCAAAUUCUCGAACAUGAAUGUGCUUUUCAUGCCAUUUCUUGAGUCCCUCCUUAAGUAAUUUGGCAUUCUCGUAUGAAGACAUUCGAAAAUUUUCUAACUCAUUAAGUUGAAGCAUUUGUUUCUCUUUGGAACUUUUAAGAUCAAAGUUGAGUCAUUGGAGAGCCCAGUAAGCUUUGUGUUCUAACUCCAAGGGUAGAUGGCAGGCUUUCCCAAAGACUAACCUAUAGGGUGACAUCCUUAAAGGUGUCUUGUAUGCUGUCCUGUAAGCCCAUAUAGCAUCAUACAGUCUUUUGGACCAAUCUCGUUUGUUCGGUCAAACUACCUUCUCAAGUAUGCCUUUGAUCUCCUUGUCUGCCAGUUCAAUUUGCCCAUUCGUCUGCGAAUAGUAAGCUGUAGCGACCUUUUGCUUCACUCCAUGUUUAUCUAAAAUCCAUUUCAACCACUUGUUCAAAAAAUGGGACCCUACAUCACUGAUGACGGCUCUUGGGGUUUCAAACCUUAUGAACACAUGUUUCUACAAAAACUUCAUUACAACCAUAGCAUCGUUUGUCGGAUAUGCCUCUACCUCAACCCACUUAGACACAUAGUAUACUGCUACUAAUAUGUACUUUUGACAAAAAGAUAGAGGGAAAUGAUCGAGAAAGUCAAUACCCCAAACAUCGAAUAAUUCUACCUCAAAUAUGUUUGUUCGAGGCAUCUCAUUUCUAUUGGUGACAUUUUUGACCCUAUGAAAUCGAUCACAACUCUUUACAUGAGCAUAUGCAUCUUUGAAUAGUGUUGGCCAAAAGAAUCCGGCUUGUAAUACCUUGGCUGUAGUACGUGUACCUCUAAAGUGUCCCCCAUUCGGAGCUGAGUGACAAUGGUAUAAAAUCUUAUGUACUUCAUCUUCUUCCACGCAUCUUCUGAUCAUUUGAUCUGUACACUUUUUAAACAAAUACGGUUUUUCCUAGAAAUAGUACUUCACAUUGUGAAGAAAAUUUUUCUUUUGAUGAUAUGUCUUAUCACUCGGCAUCAAACCACAAGCUAAAAGGUUAGCAAUAACAGCAAACCAAGGGGUAUUAUGGACAUGAUUUUAACUUCAGUAUGUGUUCAUCUGGAAACAUCUCUCGAUUUGGUAUAAGAAGAGAGUUCCCUUCUUGCGGCUCCAAUCUGGACAAGUGGUCUGCUACUUGGUUUUCCAGUCCCUUUCGAUCUUGAAUUUCUAGAUCAAACUCUUGAAAUAGAAGUACUGAUCGGAUCAGUCUCGGCAUAGCGUCUUUCUUGGAAAAUAAAUACUUAAUUGUUGAGUGGUUCGUAUAAACAGUCACUUUGGUACCUAUAAGAUAAGAUCGAAACUUGUCAAAAGCAAAUACAAUAACAAGGAACUCUUUUUCUAUUACCGUGUAAUUCAAUUGAGCUACUGUCAGAGUCCGACUGGCAUAGUAGAUAGGCUGAAAAACUUUGUUCCUUCGUUGACCCAUGACAGCUCUGAUUGCGAAGUCACUUGCAUCACACAUCAAUUCAACUGGAAAAUCCCAGUCUGGUGUGACUACUAUGGGUGCCGAGACUAACUGACUCUUCAAAUCGUUGAAAGCUCUUAAGCACUCCUCAUCAAAUUUAAAUGUCGUGUCCUUUUCCAAUAAUUUUAAUAAGGGGUUUAGGAACUUUGGAGAAGUCCUUGAUGAAUCUUCGAUAGAAACCGGCGUGGCCCAAAAAGCUCCUAACACCCUUUACAGAUAUUGGAGGUGGGAGUUUCUCAAUAACAUCUAGCUUUACUUUAUCUACCUCGAUUCCAUGUCUUUUUAUCCGAUGCCCUAGAACAAUACCUUCGCGUACCAUGAAAUGGCAGUUUUCCCAGUUAAGUACAAGGUUUGUUUCUUCGUUUCACCUUAGUACCUUGGCUAGAUUGGCUAGGCAAUCAUCAUAUGUAUCUUUGAAUACUGAAAAAUCAUCCAUAAAAACUUCCAAAUAUUUUUCAACCAUGUCAGUAAAAAUAGACAUCAUACAUCUUUGAAAUGUAGCAGGUGCAUUACAUAAACAAAAUGGCAUGCGCCUAAAUGCAAAUGUACCGUACGGGCAGGUGAAUGUUGUCUUGUGUUGAUCUUCCAGUGCUACUGUAAUCUGAUUAUACCCCGAGUAUCCAUCGAUAAAAUAGUAAUAAUCUCGCCCUGCGAGUCUAUAAAGCACUGGUCCAAAAAUGACAAAGGAAAGUGAUCUUUCCUAGUUUCCUUAUUUAGCUUCCGGUAAUCGAUGCAAAUUCUCCAUCCCGUAACCAUUCUAGUCAAUAUCAACUCGUUAUACUGAUUUUUAAUUACCGUGAUACCUCUUUUCUUUGACACGCACUGGACCGGACUUACCCAUGAACUAUUUGUGAGGGGGUAAAUUAUACCCACAUCUAACCACUUGAUGAUUUCUUUGUUGACUACGUCCUUCAUGAUAGGGUUCAGUCUUCGUUGUCCAUCAAUCGUCCCUUUUUCUCCAUCUUCUAAGAUAAUCUUGUGCAUGCAUAUAGAUGGAAUAAUUUCGUGAAUAUCGAUUAUGGUCCAUCCGAUAGCUUUUUUGAGUUGUUUCAACACUAGGAUGAGUUUCUCUUCUUGCUCAGUUGUUAAUUCUGCUGAAACAAUCACAGGCAAAGUACAAGAGUUACCUAAAUAAACAUAUUUCAAAUGUGAGGGAAGUACCUUCAGUUCUAAUUUAGGUGGUUCCUCGAUUGACACUUUUGUUUGGGCAUAAUCCCUUUUCUCUAACUCCAAAGAUUCAAAGCGAGAUUGCAGAUUAAAACCCCUUUGAGUAGCUUCUAACAAUGCUAAGUAUUCAUCCUCCUCUUCAUCAUUUGGAGGAUCUGAGGUCAAAAUUGGUUCCAAUGGGUCCUCAACAUAAUUGAGUUCCCUCUCCAUGAUUAAAUCCUCUAAAUCAGACACUGCAGAACAAUCAUUAAUUAUGUCAGGAAAUCGCAUGGACUUAAAAAUGUUAAAUGUUACCUGAUCAUACUGAACACGCAUAGUAAGCUAACCUUUCUGCACAUCAAUAAGGUCCUUCCGGUUGCUAAGAAUGGUCUUCCUAGGAUGAUUGGCACCUCUUUGUUUGCUUCAAAGUCUAGAAUCACAAAGUCAGCAAGAAAGAUAAAUUUGUCUACACGUACCAAUACAUCCUUGAUUUUUCCUUCUGGAUAUGCUAAAGAUCGAUCUGCUAAUUGAAGUGUAGCCGUAGUAGGUCUAACUUCACCUAUCCCCAACUUCCUAAAUAUUGACAUGGGCAUCAAGUUGAUACUCGUACCCAAGUCACAUAGUGCAUUACCACAAUAUGUUGCUCCAAUAUUGCAAGGUAUGGUAAAACAUCCAGGAUCCUUCAAUUUUGAGCAUAGUUUGUCUUGAAGAUAUGCACUGCAUUCCUUCGUUAGGGCUACCAUAUCAAAUUCUCCAAGCCUUUGUUUUUUAGACAAGAUAUCUUUCAUGAAUUUUACGUAUUUUGGCAUUUGUUCUAGUGUUUCAACCAACGAGAUGUUGAUAUCAAGUUGCUUGAAUACGUCUAGGAACUUCUUGAAUUGAAUUUCCUACUCCUGCUUCUGAAGUCUUUGAGGGUAGGGUGGUGGAGGUUUCUUUACUAGAACUAGUUGAUUCAUUUUCUGUGGAAAUUAUGCAUCUAACGGAGUUAUUAGUUGAUCAGAAUUAGCUAGUUCAGAAGUUACCUUGUCAGAUUUUACAAAUUCAAUUUCUAGUAAAAUUGGAAUUUCAACACUCGGUUGAACUUCCUUCGAGUCUUGAGCGUCAGCUGGCUCCUUCUCAACUUCAACGGAAUUGGGCUCUAAAGUCUUUUCGCUCCUCAAUGAUAACGCUUUAUAAUGCUCCUUCCCUAGAUUCCUCGGAUUCUCUGUAUCACUAGGCAAAACACCUUGUGGUCGGUUUCUGAGUUCAAUUGCAAGCUGGCCCACUUGAUUCUCUAAAUUACUUAGAGAGGCAUCAUUUUUCGCCAUGUAUGCCUUCAAUAGAUUCUCUAGGCUAUUGGAUGGUUUAGCUUGGGUUGGUUUCUAAGCUUGUUUGGAAAAACUAGGUGGUUAGGACAAUCUAGGUUGGACAUAAUUGUUACUGGUUCCUACCCCUUGGUUACUUUAGAAAAAAUUCGGGUGGUUUCGCCAUGAUGGGCUAUAGAAAUUGGAUUCCAGCCCUUGCCUUCCUCGAUUUUGGUUCUGGUUACCCAUGUAAUACACAAAUUUUGGGUUCGGUGGAUAUUCUUCAAACAAAUGUCCUUCCCCACAAUAAACACAGGCUACAUUUUCAAAUUAAUUCAGUGGCUGUGCUGCAAAACUAUUACACCCAUUAGUAGUAAGAUUUUUUAACAUUAAAGAUAUUGAUGAUACAUGAGAUGCGACUGAAGUAAGAGCGUCUACUUCAUGUAUUCCAGCAACUCAUCUUCCUGACGCUGCUCGAUUGGUUGGCCAUUGAUAACUAUUACUGGAAAUGCUCUCAAUGAUUUCAUAAGCCUCAUUAUAAAAGUUAGAAAGGAGAGCACCAUUAGCAGAAGUGUCCACUACCAUCCUCGUGUGAGCAUUGAGACCAUUAUAAAAUGUCUCAAGUUGUAUGCAACGUGGUAUUCCGUGAUGAGGGCACUUCCAUAAUAAUUCUUUGUACCUUUCCCAUGCCUUAUACAAUGACUCAUCAUCCAUUUUUAGAAAGUAGUGAUCUCGUUCCUCAACUUAGCAUUCUUGCUAGGCGGGAAAUACUUCAUAAGGAAUUUUUCUGCUAACUCUUGCCAUGUUGAAAUUGAGUUUGGUGGUAAUGAGUUCAACCAAGCUCGAGCUCUGUCCCUUAGUGAAUAUGGGAACAACUUCAAUCGUAAUGCAUCUUCGGGCACUCUGGCUAACAUGACUGGCUUCAACUCAAACCGUUGUCCCUCAAUUUCGAGUCUUCUACUACCUGGAUUAAGAUCAUGAAAUAAUGGCACGACAUACUGUCACAAAGAUCUAUCCUUAUCAUCAGUAAUAAGGAUAGGAUUUUUAGCAUGGUUUUCUACGUUUCCUUGAUUCAGAUUUUCAAAGUUCAUCUCUUCAGUCCUUCUCUGACUUGCUUGUCUUCUUUGCUGUCAAAAAGUUCAUUCAAUCUCAGGGUCUAUAGGGAGUAAAUCGAUGAUUUGGUCAAUACUCAUAAACACCUGAAAUAAUCACAGAAAAAUUAACUAAGUUAAAAUUUGAACAGAAAAUAAACCAAAAUACAAAACUGACAACUUCACAAAUAAUGAUUUUUUUAAAACACAGUCCCUAGCAACGGCGCCGAAAUUUUGUAACGAUGGAAAUGUGCAAGUGUACACAAUCACAAAAAGUAAUAAAGUGACAAGUAAAUGACGAGUUAUCAUACCCAUUGGGACUGUGAAAAGAAUUAUUUAUGAAUGCUAUUUAAAACACUUUUGUGAAGAAAAAUAUUUUGUUUGAACAUACUCACCUACCAAAAUCCAUUUAUCUCUUGACUAUAUCCCUAUGUCAAUUCAACCGAUUAAACAAAUCAUAAUAGGCAAAUAUGUUAUUGCACAUACAUACUUAUUAAAUCGAAAUAAUCUCUUGUACAUAUCCCUAUGUCAAUUCAAACAAUUAACUCAAUUUAAUAAGCACAUAAAAGACUAUGUGAGGUAACAAAGUAUCCUUACCUUGAAACAGUUUAAUCACAAUAAUCUUGCAAGUUAUGCAAGGCAAAUGUAUCGUCAGAUACCAUUGCUAAUCUAAUCCUCAGCUACCUUAGGUGACUAAACAUGCACUGAUUAAGUACUGUGUCCAUUAAUUAUAAUUUCAAUCCAUUUAAAUAAUUAAUUCAUUAGUUACCUAACAAUUGUAAUGCAAGAAUAACUUAGUCAUGAUUCUACUUAAUCAAGCAUCUUACCCAGGCCUAUAACAACAUAAACACAAUUUCAAUAAUUCUAACAAACGAAAUUCAAUCAACCUAACAUGAAUUAAAUUCAAGCUAAAUUGAUUAAAUUAACCAUUCCAACAACAUAAAUUUUCAUAGAUAUGUUUAGCAUAACAAAAAUAGAAAUUAAAGAGACAGGGAACAAGAAUCAAAUCUGAUAUUUUUUCGUGGCUUGACUAGUGCUCCAUUCAUCCUUCUCCAUUGUCAUCGUCGACCAAGGCUACUAUGAACACUUAAUUGCUACUCCAAAUAUCUGAUGAAUGCCCCUUUCCCAAGAGAAGAAAUUGGUAAGAGAGCAAGGGAAUUUUGAAACGGAAAGGAAGAGAGAAAGUGGAGAGAAUAGAGGAAUGAUGUGAAUGCUGGAGGUGUGUUUCUAAAAUUAAUAGCCUAAGGGGGUUCUUAUAGCUGAGGAGGGCUGCUAAAAAUAGCUAAAAUUAUCAGCCAAAGAGCCCUCCCUUGGCCGGCCACACAUGUGGCAAGGUUGAUAGUUUCAACUUUGCUAAUUUAGGCUUGUGGCAAAUCUAUAAAACCACCAAUUGUGGAGGGGUUUGAAUGCAACUUGAGCAAGUCUUCAAGGGACUCUUUGCAAGCCUAAAUAAUUAGCUAAUAAAAUGAUUUGGGUCAGCUCUUGGGACGGUUUUUUGGCUGUCCAUUUCUUGGUCGGUUCGGUUUACUCGGUCUAGUUCAACAGGACCUUUUUUUCAUAAUAAUUAAUAAUAAUUUAUUAAACCAAAUUAAAUUGGAUAUAAAUUAAAAUUAAUUAUAUUAUGAAUUAAUACGUAUAAUUUUGGGCCGUCUUAGGCUGAAAUUUAGUUAGUCUCGAUACUUUAAAUUGCUUCUUGAUUUUGUGCUUCUAGUAGUGUCUACCGAGCCAUUUUUCACCUUUUAUGCAAAUCUGUCGAAAAUAACCAAAAUUCAUCAAAAUUAAGUAUAAAAUUAACAAAAAUUAAACAUGUUCAUAUUUUAAGUGCACUUUAAUUAUUUUUUAAAAAUUAAUUAUUUUUUCGACAAUAAUUUUAUCGAAAUUGUAUGACUUUAAGUUAAAAAGGGUAUGUAAAAAUGUCUAAAUUUCCAUGUUUCCACUUGCCUUAGUCGUAUUUAUAGUUAGUUUAGUGAAAAUCAAGUUUUUGGAUCCGUUUCUGGGGACUAAAAUAUUAGGAACACUUGAUUUUUAUUAAUUUAGCCAUUUAUUUUUAUUGCAUUUUAUUGUUGUUUUUAGUUUUAUUUUUGUUUUCUAAUUUUUUUCUUUUAUUUGCUUCUGACAAGUUCUUUUAGUGUAUGACUAGAAGAAACAUGUCAGGACCUUUAGUAUUUGAUAGUGAAAUUGAAAGUACAGCUCGCAGAAACCAUAGAGAAGAAAGGCAAAGUCGACAGAAUAUAGUGGAAGAGCAAGAGGAUGUUAUUAUUGUUACUUAGGAGAUGGAUGAUAAUCAGAAUAAUUAGCUUCCUCCUGUGGUUGCUGCGAAUCCUGCAAAUCCGAAUCAUGUUCCUCGUACUAUGUAUGAUUAUACCUAGUCUAAUCUAACUGGGACUGAAUCAAGUAUUGUGUGACCCACCAUUGCUAUGAAUAAUUUUAAACUGAAGUCGAACACUAUUCAGAUGAUUCAACGGUUGUUCAGUUCGAUGGUUUGCAAGAAGAAGAUCCAAAUACUCAUUUGACUAAUUUCUUGGAAGUCUGCUAUACUUUUAAGAUAAAUGAAAUUUCUGAUGAUGUCAUUCGCCUACGGUUGUUUCCUUGUCAUUGAUUAAUAAAGCUAAACAAUGGUUGAAAUACCUACCACGAGGUUCGAUCACCACAUGGGACCAAAUGACCGAAAAAUUAUUGUUGAAGUACUUUCCACCAACUAAGACAGCUAAGUUGAGGAAUGAUAUCUCUUCCUUCGUGCAGAUAGACUUAGAGAUCCUAUAUGAUGCAUGAGGGAGGUAUAAGGAUUUAUUAAGAUGAUGCCCUCACCAUGGGUUACCUUUAUGGCUACAGGUUCAAACCUUCUACAACGGUUUGAAUCCCUUGACUAGGCAAUUAAUCGAUGCAACAGUCGAUGGUACCUUGAACAAUAAGACACCUAAAGUGCCUUAUGAUAUAGAAGAGAUGUCACUGAAUAAUUAUCAGUGGCAAGUCAUGAGGAAGAAGCCUAAUAGAGUAGUUGGUGUUUUCAAUCUAGAUGCAGUCACCACGUUAUCAAAUCAGGUAGAACAAUUAAAUAAGAAAAUUAACGGUUUAUGUGUUUCUACGCAGGUACAUCUGGUGAUGCAAGACAAUGCAAAUAGAGGAGGAAUAAGUAAUCCAGAAUAUUUGCCCUACGGUCAUAGUACAGAGAACGAACAAAUCAACUAUAUGGGUAAUAAUUCUAGGGCUCAGAAUAAUCCCUACAAUAACACUUAUAAUGCAGGUUGGAGGAACCAUCCCAAUUUCUCUUGGGGUGGUUAAGGAAGUCAAAGACCACAACCCUCUCUAGGCUUCCAACAACCAUCUUACCAGCAAGACAAGAAGUCAAACCUUGAAAAGAUGUUAACGAAGUUUAUCUCAGUGUCAGAAACUCAUUUUCAAAACACUGAGGCAACACUUAAAAAUUAGAAAGCAUCAAUUCAAAGGCUCGAGAACCAAAUCAGUCAACUUGCAACGUUGAUUUCAGAACGACCACAAGGUAGCUUGCCUAGCAACACUAAAACUAACCCAAGAGAGCAGCUUCAUGCAAUUACUAUUCGAGAUGAAGAAGGGUUAGUGAAAUCUGAACCAGAACCGAGGCAAGAAAGUGUGGUAAGUAAAGAUAAGGUUGAGGUGAGCCAAAAUGAACAAAAUCCAAAUGGUAAGAAAUAUAAAUCUCGAGUACCAUAUCCUAACGCGACAAAGAAAGACCACAUGAACGAAAAAUUUGGUAAAUUUCUUAAACUUCUUAAAAAGUUACAUAUUAACUUACCGUUUAUUGAAGCUCUUUCGCAGAUGCCCAAUUCCCUUAAAUUCUUAAAGGAACUUUUGGCAAACAAACGGAAGUUAGAUGAUUCAUCACACGUGGAGCUAAACACAGUUUGCUCAGCAAUUUUGCAAAAUAAGCUACCCAACAAAUUGAAAGAUCUAGAAAGUUUUACUAUUCCUUGUUUAAUUGGUAGUUUAAAUGUGAAUAAUGGUUUAGCUAAUUUAGGGGCUAGUAUUAAUGUCAUGCCCUAUAAAAUGUUUAAACAAUUAGGUCUUGGGAAACCAAAACAAACUAGGAUGAGUAUUCAAUUGGUAGAUAGAACCAUUAGAUUUCCUAGGGGUAUUAUUGAAUAUGUACUUGUGAAAAUUGAUAAAUUCAUAUUCUCUAUUGAUUUUGUUGUUUUAGACAUGGGUGAGGAUAGUGACGUACCUUUAAUUUUAGGACGACCAUUUUUAGCAACUGACAGAACUAUUAUAGAUGUUGGUACAGGUGAAUUAAUACUUCGUGUAGGUGACGAAACGAUUACACUCCAAGCUCGUAAUUCUGUUAAGACAGCUAGUGAUUGAGAUGAUUAUACGAGUUCUGUUAAAUUUAGUAACCUUAUGGCUCAAACUUCUUUGCAGGAAAUCCCUAGGAAAAACGUGAUGGAGCAACAUUUCAGUCCAUGCGACAAAAAUAGAACGACUCAUGAAAAACGAAUGCUACAGAUCGAUGAACUAGAUGAAUGACAGACACAUGUCAAGGAGAAACUGAUAAUACACGAUGCAGAACCAAAGCGAUGCCAUGACGAGCAUAAGGAUGGAACGAACCAAUUUAAGGUUGGGGACCAGGUAUUGUUGGAUAAAACGGACCCUCAAAUUGCCACUUCAAAGCUUAAUGCAAACAGAACAACUCCUUUUACGGUAUUGAAUGUCUUCCCUUAUGGUAUAAUCGAGAUAACUCAUUCUGAAUUCGGCAGUUUUAAGGUAAAUAUAACUCGACUUAAACCUUAUUUUGAUAAUACAAUUGACAGCGAGAAAGAGGAGUUUUGACUCUGCGAACCAUCGUAACAGUGCAAAUACAAGGUAAGUUGAGCUUAAACUCUAAACAAGCUUUUCUUGGGAGGCAACCCGAGUAUUAACACUGCUAAUUCAUUUAUUUUUAUUUUUAAUUCAUGUUAAAUAAUGAUUUUUUGACCCACAUGGCCUGGACACACGGGCGUGCCCUGGGCCGUGUGCACUAAAAGGGGUUCGAUAGUGACUUACACGGCCUGGACACACGGGGGUGUCCUUCACCGUGUGGAUCUUAAGACUUAGUUUUAAAAUUUUAAGAAAAUCAACAAUGAGUUACACGGCUUGGACACACGGCCAUGUCAUUGGCCGUGUGGAUCUUGGGACUUAAUUUUUCCAAAAAAUUAACAGAGGCACGACCUACAACAGUCCACAUAAUUGUGCGACAUGACUGUGUUACCCACACGGCCGGAACAGACGGGCAUGUCCUAAACAAUGUAAAACCUGGAGCUAUUCUUUUCAUCAUUAAAACAAGUCAGAGAGUUACACGGGUGAGGCACACGGCCGUGUGCGGGACACGGCCAGACCACAAAGGCGUGGGGGUUGCUGCAUAGGCUUGUGGGAAGCAAAGGAGCUAGCACACAGCUAUGCGACACGACUGUGUGUGUUACACGACCUGGACACACGGGCGUGUCCGAGGCCGUGUGAAGACUGGGCCCUAAAUUUUAAGACGUAUAAAGGCUAGAAAUGAACCACACGUUUGGCCCAACAUAGGCCUUACACAACCGUGUUCCCUUUUAAAAACCCUAAUCCCAUUUUAUUUUUUUUACUUUACUUUGUCUUCUUCCUCAAAUCCCUAGCCGCCACUCACCCCCAACAACCCCUCUCUCCGAUCACUGUCAUUCUGCACUGCCUCACUUCCUCACUGCACACCUCCGCCCUCACCACUACCCCUCCCCAAGUCGUCCCCUCUCCUCUCUGUUUUUCCUUCUUCUUUCUCCCUUCUGUCUUUCUCUCCUCCCUCACCUCUCCCCCACGCCCUACUAGCACUUCACCCUCGUUCAAACACUAUUGCACCACCGUCCUCUCCCCGUCACCGUCACCUCCAUUGUAACACCCCUUACCCGCAUUCCCGAUCGGAACAGGGUAUGAGGUAUUACUAAAUUUUUAAAAAUUUCGAUAGCAUUUCUGCUUAUUUUUGCUUAAACCUCCUGCAAGUUUUCAAACACAAUUCAAUAUUCCAACCAAGUUCAGUUGUAUAAACAUAUACAAUUUAACCAUUAAUAAACACUACAUUUUAAAUCGAACCAUAACAUAUAUUUACAUGGUGACGCUCCAUUACAUAAGUCGUCUAUACAUGCCAUAAUUUCCGGAAUACUAGUAGCAAAAUACCCAAACGUGGAUGAUAGUGUAGAUGAUUGUCUGACUCCGUCCCAAUUCCGAGUUGAUGGAAAUCACUAUAAUCAAGGGAAAAAUAAAAACGAGUAAGCAUAUAGCUUAGUAAGUAAACAUAUGACAAAUAAAUAAAUUUCUCACAUGACUACACCAUAGUAUAAAUUUAUUCACAAAUAAAUUUCAUUGUUUGUGUAAUUUCCAGCAAGCUGGUUUUCUGCGUCAUGACCACCAAUUUAUUUUUAUCCAGAGCUACAAGGCUCAAAAUUGAAUUUUGUAAAUUUUUCCUGAAACUAGACCCACAUUUAUUUCUAUCAUAAAAUUUUCAGAAUUUUUGGGCGAGCCAAUUACUACAGUUUAUUCUUUAAAUCUUCCCCUGUUUCACUGCCCGACAGUCCUGACCUCCCCUUACAAAAAUUCACAUAACUCUCCGUAAAAGUUUAAAAAAAUGUUUUUGUUUGUUUCUAUUAAAAAUAUACUCAAGAAGGAAUCCAUACAUAUAUAUUUCAAGCCAUAAUUAUUUUUUUAUAAUUUUUGGUGAUUUUCCAAAGUUGGAACAAGAGAUUUCGAAAUCAAUCCAGCCCUGUCUCAGUAAAAUUCAAAUAUCUCCAAAAAUAAAACUCUUUUGCUUGCUCUAUUUCUUUCAUAUGAAAUUAGACUCAUUCAUCUUCAAUUUCAUAUAUUAUUUGACCUCUAAUUCAUUUUCCACCAUUUAUGGUGAUUUUUCAUAGUUGCCCAACUGCUGCCAUUCAAAACAGUUUUGCAUUCAAAUUGUCUCUUUUUGUAUUUUUUAUUUUCCUCCAAUCUUAUACAUGGGUUGAUUAAGUAUCAAACCCAAUAUUCCUCCCAUAAACUUGUCCACCACAUAUAUGAAUAUUCACCUUCCCAAUUUACUCGUUGAACACUAGGAAUGUUAACCGUUAUCGGUGGAUUCCGCACUUAGCAACCACCAAUGAAUCGGGGAAUCAGCACACAGCAACCCCUUGGGGGAAUCAGCACUUAGCAACCCCCUUCACAUUUCAGAUGCGGUGGAAUCAGUACUUAGCAACCACCAAUGAAUAGGGGAAUCAGCACUUAGCAACCCCUCGGGGGAAUCAGCACUUAGCAACCCCCUUUCACAUUUAAAAUACGGUGGAAUCAGCACUUAGCAACCACCAAUGAAUCGGAGUAUCAGCACACAGCAACCCCUUGGGGGAAUCAGCACUUAGCAACCCCCUUUCACAUUUAAAAUAUGGUGGAAUCAGAACUUAGCAACCACCAAUGAAUCGGAGAAUCAACACACAACAACCCCUUUAUAUGCAAUAUGUUCCGGCCUAUUCCGAGUGUUCAACCAAAAACCGUGUUUUGCAACCCCUUACCACCUUUCCCAAUUUAACAACAUUUUUGGAAUCUUGCCAAACAUUUAUUUUAUAUUCAAAUAAAUCUCAACACAUAUCAAAUAAUAUCAAAAUAAUACAUUAAGUCACAUGUUUACUUACCUCGGUGCAAAAUAUUGUAAUUUUGCAAUUCACUCCACUAUCUUUUCUUUUCCUCGUUUGAGAUAAUCUUCCUGUCUCUCUUGAUCUAUAAUAGCAAAUUUAACUCGUUUAAUGUUCACAUUUAUUAAAAUAAUCCUCCACCCAACUUUUUGAAAAUUUACAAUUUUGCCCCAAACUUUUACAUAUUUACACUUUUGUCCCUAAGCUCGGAAAUUAAACUUCACUUAUUCUUAGGUUUUAUGACAUGCUGAACAUUUUUCCCUUCUAUGGAAACAUCAAAUUCUCACUCUAACACAUACUUUUGAACAUUAACUAUUUUUACCGAUUAUGUCAAUUUACCCGUUUUCGUUUAAAAUCGCUUAGCAAAAGUUGUUUAACAUAAUUUCUAGCUUCAUAUUCCACCAUAAAACAGCAAAAUAAACACAUUUCACCUAUGGGUAUUUUCCCAAAAUGAACCCCAACACGAAUUAUUGAUAGAAUAAGCUAAAUUAAGUUACCGGGACUCCAAAAAGGUAAAUAACAUUAAAAACAGGGCUUGGAAUCACUUACUAUUGAGCUUGGAAGCUUAAAAACCCUAACUAUGGCUUCCCCCUUGCUGAUUUCAUUCACCAUGAAGAAGAUGAGCACAUUUUGCCAUCGUUUUCCCUUUUUAAUUCUUUUUAUUACUAAAUGACUAAAAUGCCCCCAUUUAAAAAAAUCUAUUUCACCCAUUUCUUAUGUCUAUUUUUGUCCAUCAAUUAACUAAUGAUCUAAUUACCAUAUAAGGACCCCCAAUUUAUAAUUUCAUAACAAUUAGACACUUCUAACAUGUAGAACUCAACUUUUGCACUUUUUACAAUUUAGUCCUUUUGACUAAAUUGAGUGCCCAAACGUCGAAAUUUUCGAACGAAAUUUUUAUGAAAUUUGUCUGUAAAAUUUUAGACCAUGAAAAUAUAAUAAUAAUCAUAUUUUCUCUCAUCAGAUUUGUGGUCCCGAAACCACUAUUCCGACUAGACCUAGAAUCGGGCUGUUACAUCCAUUCCCUCCGGUCACCACUCACCACCGUUUUCCCUCCUUUCUUUCUUUCUUUAUUUCUUAUUUCUUAUUUCUUAUUUCUUAUUUUCAUUAGUUAUUUUACUUUGUUUAUUUAUUGUUUAUUAUCUAUUAUUUAUUUUUUGUUAUAUUCCUUUCGUUUACUUGUUACUGUUUUUUAUUUUUAUUUUUAUUUAAUCCAUUUUUUAUCCUUCAUGCUCCUAUUUUCAUUUCUUAUUGCAAAUCUUAUUAUGCUUCUUCCUUACUCUAUUAUUUAGAUUUCCUUGCUCACUGUGUCUAUUAUUCGUGUUCUUUGUUCUUAGUAUUUGAAUUGUUUCAUUAUUUAUACUUUUUAUUCUUCGUAUAUUUUAUGUGUUCUUAUUUUUCUUAUUGAUGCUAUUUCAUGUCUAUUGACUACCUGAUAUUAGUAAAUAGUAUUGUCGGAGUUGAUUUUCUAGUCGGGCGAUUUCGAUUUCAAGGCGUGUCUUAGGGUACUUCUUAAUGUCAUCUUUUAAAUUCCACAAUUGUUUUUCAACCUUUUUGUCUAUUUAUUUGAUGAUGAGUAUUUUAUUUUAUUUUCUGAUAGUUAAUUGCUUUCUUGAAGGCACAUCAUGACAAACAUAGGAAACAAGUCCAAGGUCGUCGUCCUCGCUGCGAAAAAGCGAAAGACCCCUAGCACGACCUCUUCCUCGAGCGAUUCUACUGAGGCCCGUCACCCUUAUCUCUGAUUUUUUGCGAGUCCCCAGGAAGACUUAUUCCAGCUCCUUCGAGUGUGACCACUUGGUUUGGGCCAAUGUAUCGACUUGGCCACUUUGGAGCAAGUCCACAUCGAUGAUCUUGUUUGGGCCUUUCUUACCACAGCCCCAUGAGACCAAUUCUUCUCCAUCAUCGAGCCUAGAUUCAUGGAGCUGACUUUGGAGUUUUGCUUGACAUUUCAUCCCCAGCAUGCGAUGACAUCGCAUGACGAACAGGGCACCAUCACUUUCAGACUCGGUGGCCUAGUACACUAUAUGAGUGUACUAGAGUUUGGCAUUGCUUUGGGCCUCUGUACUGUGGAUUUUAUGAGUACCGAGAUAUUCCUCCGCCUACAUCGACACAUCCACUACUCCCCCUCUUGCUGUUGGACAGAUCUUAUGGUGAGUACGAUGCCCUAUGACGCGAUUGACUCGAAGGGGACUUAUAUCCCUCCAACUUUGCAGUACAUACAUGCCCUUUUAGCUCAUACUUUUACUGGCAGGAGAGAGAGCACUGGCAUCGUCAGUAAUACCAAUGCUUACUUUCUAUGGAGCAUGGCCACCGGACAUAUCUUUGACCUGGCCUAUUUCAUUGCACUAGCCUUCUGCCAUCAGACAUAUCGCCAUAGGAAGGACCCUAAUUGUUUACGUCUUUACGUGACUCGACUCGCUCAACACUUCAGUCUCAUCGACACAUCAGAGUAGUCCUCUACACGUACUCUAGUCAGCCAGAUGUCUCCAGAGGAAAUCUCGACCAUGAUCCAUAUGAGGAUGAUAGAGCAACUUCGUGGAGUUGAUCCUCCUCAGUACCAUUUACUUUAUUCUGAUUCUCAAAAUAACCCAGAGGACUUCAUUGAUGAUGUCCUACUAUAUCACGAGGAUCCACCUCAUCCUCUACCUUCGAGUCAUCAUCCUGUUUCUUCUGCUGCCACUUUGACGGACCUCUCCAAGCGUUUCACUCGCUUUGAGACGUAUUGCUUUUAGGCUUUCGAAAGUAUUGAUGUGACUUUACAGCAGAUCUACCGGCAUCUCCAUAUCUCCUCCUCAGCGCCGAUGACUCACGACACCGACACGUCUGAUGAUGAGGACCAUUAAGUCAAUUUAUUUUAUUUUAUUUUAUUUUUUACUUUUAUUUUUUAUUUUUAUGUUUAUUGUAAUUUUCUUAGUCUUAUUUCAUUUUUACUUUUGAACUGUAUUUUUAUUUUUAUGGUUGUUUCUAAUUGAGAUAAUCCAUUAAUCUUUUUCACUAUUUGUAUUUAUUUUCUUAUUAGUUUGCUCGAAAUUGUGCUCUACAUUUAGAUUUGCCUACAAUUCUGCUUUUCACUAUUCCAGGGAUUUCAUCCAAUAUUUAGGCCAGUUUCAGUUUUCUCCCUCUUUUAUGAUAUUCUGUUUAUACUGUCAUUAUCUAUGUUUGUACAUUGAGGACAAUGUACAUCUUAAGUGUGGGGAGGUUAUUUAUAUAAUUAUUAGAAAAUCCCUGAAUUAUGUCUUGUGUUUAAGUAAUUUUCUCAUACUACUAUUGUAACGCUUGAGUUUGUGCAAGUGUACAUAGUUGUUAUCAAGUAAUAAGUAAGUAUCGAGUUAUCGUCUCCACAGGGAUUGUAUUUGUGCUAAGUCACUUAAUUUGUAAAAUUAUAUUCACAAAUUGGUAAAUAAAAAAACACAAUAUCGUUUAGAAGUAGUGAUUAAAAUAUAUUAAACUAAAUGCAAUGAUCCCUAAUAAAAAUUAUCCUAAAUAUGCAAACUAUAAGAAUGAAAUAGAUUUUAGUAAAAUUAAACACAAUUUGCAACAAUUAUAACAUAAAUAAACUAGGAUAGAUACUUUAAUUAAACUCAAUUUAUUAUCAACAUGCUUAAUAACAUUCGGAAAAACAUUCCAUGGCAACUCGAUCUUUCAUGAGUUUGGAAACCACAUUAGGUCCUUUCGGAGUCCUUUCUUAGGAAAUACACAUUUUACUGAUUCUUAUUUACUAAGGGUUUCUUAGCAUUCGUGUGAGGUAACAGGGACGUGUUAGGUUUGAAACAAUUUAAUCACACAAAUCUAAAAACUAUGCAAAUAACAGAGCUUGGUUAGAGUUGUUAUGGAACCUACAAUUUAAUCCGGUUAGGAUCUAAAUUGAGCAUGCACAUUUCAAUUAUGUGUCCAUUAGCCGUCGUCUGGUUAGGAUUGCUUAGCUAAUUCAGGUGCAUUUUGAUCACGUAUGAACGAAAUGCAGACUUGAUUUUAAUUAAAAACACGAUUGAUUAAGGCACAAACAUUAUAAGCAUGAAUCAAAUAAAUAUUAUUUAAUCAAAAUAAUCAUCCUAGCUAAAAUAAAAUUAAGCUAUCAUUGUUGUAAACAAGAACAAAGAACACACAGUAAACAUCUUUAUAUUAAAUUAAAAAAAAGAACAAUUCAGAUUGUCUAUCACCCAAGACUCUGACUGAUGAGGCUCCUUCGCUUUUUUGCUUUGCUCCUUUGCUGAUGGCUCUCAAAGCUGGCCGACCAAGGGUUCUUUAAUAGGCUUAAUUUCUAAAAUCCUUAUGCAAGGAUGAUGAAUGAGAAUGAUAGCUAAAAGAGUUGAGAGAAUGAUGAAUGAGUGAGAGAUGAUGGGAUGAGGGAUGAUUGAUAAAGUGAGAAAUGAGCUCUUACUUAUAGGUGAGUCAAGGGAGGUAGUUUGCUAAAAAUAAGAGUGUCCAUCCUUUGAAACUUCCUCCAAGAGUGGCUGACCAUGAAUUGAGGAAAGGUGGCUGAUUUUUCCUUGAGUUUUGGUCAAUUUGAGUGCCACAACAACUCAGGACUAAGACUCGAUCAUAAGCAAAUCUUCAGGAAAAUCUCCGGUUUCUUUAAAUCUUCAAGGACUUUGUAUAAUUAAACCAAAAAAUGGUUUAUGACAUCCAUGUGCAGCUAAAAGUUGGGUUGACUUGGUCCCCAAUUUGGACGGUUUUGCAAUUCGAAGAAAACUCUCAGACCUGUCCAAAAAUAGUAGAUAGUUUAGAGGACCAAAUAAUAUAAUUUAACCACUUUAAUUAAUCAAUUUACUUGAUUAAUUAAAACCCAAUUUAUUAAUUAAUUAUUAAAAAUGAAUUAUUAAAUAUAAAUUUAUAUUUUAUUAUUUAAUCUAAUCAUCCACGGCCCACUUUAUAGCUUAAAAAUAUAAUAUGCUCAAAUUAAUAUAAAAUAAGCCAUUUUAUGCAUGAAAACUAUAUAAUAAAGUAUAAAAUCACAUUUUAAUAAUUUCUAUGUUCUAAAUUCAUAUUUUCGCAUAUUUCAUUAAUUUAUUAAAUAAUUACUUGGUUUUAACAACAAAUUUAAGUAAAAAGGUAAUGAAUUAUAUAGCAAAAAUCCUAUAUAUUUUUUAGUUUACACACCCCCAAACUUAAAUCAUUGCUCGUCCCAAAUAAUGUUCAUGCACAACACAAGGUCUUGCUAAGGAAAAUUUUGCUAAGAGUGUAAGUAGCAUCAAUCUUUGUCUCAUAAUCAUGCACCAAUAAAUUCAUGCUCAUAGACCUUCUUUAUUAACAAGUAACUCAUAUACAAACAUUUUGAAAAUUUUAUUCUAAGUUUCAAGAUAUGCCAACAUGAAUCAUAGUUUGCAUGUAUGUCACAGCCAUAGAUAAUAUUUUUCAUUCAACACAAUUUCUCAUCAAUCAAGCAAAACAAUCAUAAGGUGUAACGCCUCGAAUUUGGGCCUAGAAGAAAAUAGGUCUAUAGUGUGGGAACACAUAAAAAUUUAUGUGUGCAAGAAAAUGACAUAAAUGAAUGUCUGCUUCAGUGGUUAAGUGAUUUGGGUGUGUUUAGGAGUGUCUGAGAAGUCCUACAAUCAAACCUAGGGUCUAGCAAAAUUUUACUUUUUUCUCUUAAGUAAACCUUGACUCUGGACUGUAGGUCUUAUAAAUGAAUGUGGUAGAUUUACAUCACAAAAAGAGCCUGUGGUGUAGUGGCAAGGUGGCGACACAGGUGUGGCAAGGAGGUGGCGUCACAGGUGUGGUAAGGAGGUCAGAGGUUCAAGUCUCAUUGCAUGCAAAUAAGGUUAUUUAUUUUACUCAUGAGGAGGCAAAAGUUGGUGUUGUAUUUGAACUCUAUGUUGGAGAGUUUGAAUGGGUCAAAUGAGUGAUUUAAUGAGUGGAUCAUGGAGGAAUUUAAGGAGGGGAUCAUGGAGAGGUAAGGGGAGGGAAUCAAGGGAAGUUGGGUAGGUGAAAGUUGGUGCCAAAAUGGGGUAUUUGCUUUUGGAAAUUCGGCUAGUGUGUUAUAGGGAUGCCAUUUUUCUUUUAGUAAUUUCGGCUUUUGGCUUAUUUUGUCUGCUUUUGAAAUAGUGAUGUGGGUAGUGGGCCGAUUUUACUCUAGCCAUUCCUUUCAUUUUAGUUCUUUUCGCCUUUUGCCAAAAUCGAUCAAUACCCCUAUCGAGCAAUACCCCUUUUCUCUGUUAUUUUUCUUUUCAAUAAUUGCUACUUGUGUUGAUUCUCCCUUUAUUCUCCUCCUCUUGGCACUUUUCUACUCUUCUUGUUUCUCAAAUUGACCGAACCAAUCCCUUCUCUUCCUCCAAUCUUACUCAUUCAAAGUUUUUCUUCUCACUUACUUAAAAUUGAAUUCUCAUUCUCUUUAUUUCUUUUUCUGCAACUUUUCAUCUCUAUCAACCUUGAAUAUUCUUUCUUAAUCUAGAAUUAAGCUGAAUAUUAGUUAUCUUUUCUUCUUCAUCUGUUCUGAUUUGGUAGACAUUUGAUUGUUGUUCGUGACUGAUUCUCUUCCUUCCCAUCUGCUUUAAUCCGCGUCGUCAAGGUUUGUUGGUUCUGUGGCCGAACGCUAGUUCUCUUGUUGGCCGUGUGUUUUCCUUAGGUUAGUAUUUGAUUAACCUUGGUUUUUGGAUAUUGAUUCUUAAUAAUGGUUGUGGUACAGAUAAACCACAGGGAGGUGAGAUCGUUUCAUAAUCAUACGGCUUAGGAAGUAUAAGUCGAUUUAGUUAAGGUAGGUAUUAAUCUUGGGUUCGGCUUUUGUAUUAGAAAGGCUUGUUAAAUCUUAUUAAUGAAAUGGCUAACCGAGUACCUUAAUCGAAUAUAGGUUCUACACUCAUGGGCUACUGCGUUUUUCUUCAACAAGGUGUGUACGCACACCAUUCCAAUUGUAGAUAGGCAAAUGCUGAAAUCCCAAAAUGCCAAAAAGCCAAAAGUAAAGCUACGGCUAUCACAUAAGCGCAUGAACGCACGUGUGGAUAAGUCGAUACAAUGAUAGAGGUCACCACAAGCGAUCUCGUGGUCUUAAGCCAUUUUUGGGCCAAAUAGAUCGAAAUGGGCUAAGUGGGCCCAAUGGACCAUGGGCCCUACGCGAUUAAAAUUUUCUUGGAUUGAUAAGAAAUAAUGAGUUGGCCAUGACAAUCGCAUGGCCAAGGGCAGUCUUAGGCUUAGUGGGCCACACAAACAUAUGGGCCCACUUAGGCCCAUUUAGACCAUUAUGACCAAGCCGCAAUCUAUCGUGAUCCCGACCUCUACGUAAUCCACCCAAUUGAUUAUGAACGGAAGGAAUCCCUAAAACAGUUUUGAAAAGAAUUUUCUUUGACGGCUGCUAGACCCAAGAACGGGAUUCUUAUAUAUCUUUUUUAGGGUUUCUAUAAAAUUAAUUAAAUAUAAUAAUAUUUUAAACCGAAAAUUAUAAUUACAUUAAUUAUAAUAUAAUUUCGGUAAACCAUAUAUUUAUUUGAAUUUAUAUGCUAACCAAAUUCAUGUUCUCAUAAUGCGUACAACAACCUUGUAUAUAAUGUGUUCGAUAUUUGAUUACCCAAUUAAAUUAAUUUUAUAAUUAAUUUAAUUCAAGUGACAACCAAACACAAUGCCAACUAUGUUUUGUUCCCUUCAUUUCAACUAUAGGGUGUGACCCUGUAGGUUCCUGUAACGUGAACAGUAAUAAUAGAACGAUUCCAAUGUUACAAACAAUGAAUGGCAUCUAGCAAUGCAUCAUUGCUACCUAAGUCACAAGAAAUCAUGAUUCGAUAUAACCUAUGAUUAACCUUUUAUGCAAUAAUCCUUAAGUCAUUUAUCUCUGGAUUGGACACAAGUCAUGGAAUAGUCACACUUGCAUAGUCCAUUCCAUGUUCCUUGAUAUCUUAAGCAGACUACGAUAUACAAAUAAGUAUGACAUCUCAUAUCAACUUAUUUGAGCAAUGCCAUGCAUUUCUAGUCUCACUCAAUCAAGUGCCUUAAGAUAUUACUCCCAUUAUGUAGGAGGGGCUUAUCCUAUCUCGAUCAACCAUAUUCCUCUAUGUAGAUCGUGGUAUAUCCAACAUCAGCCUUUAUAGAACAAACAGUUACGAUGUACGUUUGACUGUAUCAAAAUAUACAACUCACGAUGUUGGGAUUAUGUUGAUCUCAAGUCUGAUGAUCAUAUACAUAUUAAUCACUAUGAGUAAUGUUGUGACAAUUACAUAAUAAUCCAAGAAACAUACUCAUAACUGGUCAUUCCAAUAUGUUGUUCUCUAAUACACAUAUUCAUGCAUCGAUUCUGACAUUCCAUGUAAUGACAACUCUUUAUCAUUAACCAACUACAUGUUAGUCUUAAUGCAUUAUCGUUGUCCUAUCCAACAAUAAUACUUGACUAAGGAACUUUUAAGAAUAAUCAUAUUAUUCUUAGGACAUUAUUAUAAAACAGUUUAUUUAUAAUCACAAAAAAGAAACUGAAAUAAUAAUGGUAACACCUUAUAUUAAUAAACAUGAUAAAUAAAGUAUGUUAUUACAACCAUCUCAUGAUUGAUCUUUGGGCAUACUCUAACAAUCUCCCACUAGCACUAAGACCAAUCACCUAUAUAUCUAAUACCAAGCGACUUAGUGUGACGAUCAUGCUUCUGCUGUGUUAGAGGCUUGGUCAGGGGAUCAGUAAUGUUAUCAUAAGUAGGUACUCUGCAUAUCUCUACAUCCCCUCGAUCGAUAAUCUCUCGAAUAAGAUGGUAGCUCCUAAAUAUAUGUUUGGAUCGCUGGUGAGAUCUAGGUUCUUUAGCUUGUGCAAUGUCUCCAUUGUUAUCACAUCGGAGUUCUAUAGCAUCUGAUAUGCUAGGCACAACCCCUAGUUCAGUAAUGAACUUUUUGAUCCAAACUGUUUCUUUUGCUGCCUCACUGGCUGCAAUAUACUCGGCCUCCGUUGUAGAAUCGGCUACUGUACUUUGCUUUGAACUCUUUCAGCUUACAGCACCACCAUUAAGGCAAAACACAAAACCUGAUUGUGAUCGAGAAUCGUCCUUAUCAGUUUGGAAGCUAGCAUCAGUGUAACUCUUCCUCUCCUCUAUAUAUUAGGAAAGUAUCCUUAGUUCUUCUCAAGUACUUAAAGAUAUUCUUAAUUGUGGUCUAGUGACCUUCACUGGGAUCUAGUUGGUAUCUGCUCGUCAUACUUAAGGCAUAUGAGACAUCUGGACUUGUACAUAACAUGGCAUACAUGAUAGAUCCAAUAGCGGAAGCAUAUGGAAUUUUACUCAUGCGUUCUCUCUCUUGUGGAGUUGAAGGACACAUUUCCUUCGAGAGUGAAAUACCAUGUCUCAAAGGUAGGAAUUCUCUCUUAGAUUUUUCCAUACUGAACAUUUUCAGUGCUUUAUCUAUUUAUGUACUUUGGCUUAGACCUAGUAGUCGUCUUGAUCUAUCUCUAUAGAUCUUUACUCCUAAGAUGUAAAUGGCUUCGCCCAGGUCCUUCAUAGAAAAACAACUUCCUAACCAAGUAUUAAUAGACUGCAAGGUAGGUACGUCAUUUCCUAUGAUAGGUAUGUCAUCCACAUACUGUACCAAGAAUAUUAUAGUGCUCCCACUAACUUUCUUGUAAACACAUGGCUCAUCUUCAUCUUUGAUAAAACCAAACUCAUUUAUUGCAUCAUUAAAACGAAGAUUCCAACUUCGAGAAGCUUGCUUUAAUCCAUAAAUGGAUCUUUGUAGCUCACAUACCUUUCCAUCAUCCUUUGGAUUGGCAACACCUUCAGGUUGUGUGAUGUACACAUCCUCUUCAAGUUUCCCAUUAAGGAAAGUUGUUUUGACGUUCGUCUGCCAAAUUUCAUAGUCAUAAAAUGCAGCUAUAGCGAGCAAGAUCCUGAUGGAUUUAAACAUAGCUACAGGAGAAAAGGUUUCAUCAUAGUCAACACCAUGAACUUGGCGAAAACCUUUAGCGACUAAUCGCCCCUUGUAUCUUUAUACAUUACCAUCCAUGUCGGUCUUUUUUUUUUUAAAACCCACUUGCACCCUAUGGGUUUAACCCCUUCCGGUGGGUCAACCAAAGUCCAUACUUGGUUUUCAUACCUGGAAUCCAUCUCAGUCAUCAAGUUCAAUCUUUUUCCCACUCCCUUUUCUAGAAACAAAUUCUCUCUCUAGGAAGACACCAGUUCGAGCAACAAGUAUUUUGUUCUUAGUGGGAUUAAAGAAAUAAUAUCCUUUGGUUUCUUUUGGAUACCCCACAGAAACACAUUUUUCAGAUUUGGGUUCAAGCUUAGUAGAUGUCUGACGUUUAACAUAAACUUCGCAACCCUAAAUUUUUAUAAAAUACAUACUGGGACGUUUCCCAGUCCACAUCUCAUAUGGCAUCUUUUGAACCUAUUUAGAUGGAACACGAUUUAGUGUGAAAGCAACUGUCUCAAGUGCAUGCAUGACUCAUCAUGGAUCGAACCAUGUCUAACAAAGUUCGAUUUCUUCUCUCAGAAACUCCAUUCCAUUAAGGAGUACCAGGAGGAGUAAGUUGUUAGACAAUCCCACAUUGCUUCAAAAGAUCAUCAAACUCUAAGCUCAUAUACUCCCCACCUCGAUCAGAUUGAAGUGUCUUGAUAGUUUUUACUAGUUGAUUUUGUACUUCAUUUUUGAAUUCCUUAAACUUUUUAAGGGAUUCAGACUUAUGGCGCAUGAUAUAGACAUACCCAUAUAUACUGAAAUCAUCAGUGAAAGUAAUGAAGUAGUGAAAUCCUCCUCUAGCUUGUGUAUUUAUUGGCCCACAUACAUCAGAAUGUAUUAGGCCCAAUAAAUCACUAGCUCGUUCACUUUUACCAAUAAAAGGAGAUUUAGCCAUUUUUCCCAAUAAGCAAGAUUCACAUACUUCAAAUUGUUCAAAAACAAAUGAAUCCAAGAGACCAUCCUUAUGUAGCUUGGAUAUGCGUUCCUCACUUAUGUGGCCCAAACGACAAUGCCAUAGAUAAGUUUGAUUUGAGUCAUUUAUUUUUGAUCUUUCACUUCUUCAUCGACCACAAUUGGGUUUUCAAGAUUAGUCUUUAACGAUCUAGUUCUUUUGGGAGACAUGGUAUUUUCCCAAAAGUUCAAUAGAGUUUUUGUACAAGAGAGAAAAUAGAAAUGGACAAAGUUGGUAUAACUUGCUACGGUAAAAAUCUUGCGACAGCAAUGAUGGUGCGGUCUUGAUCUCUUUGUAGCAGCAAUAGGGAAUUUCAACAAAAAGAAAGAAAAGGACUAGGGUUACUUUCGAGAUUUGAGGUUGAUGGCACAAAAGAAGAAAUUUAGGGAUUUUUAGGGUGAAAGCAAAUUUCUUUGGAGGAUAUGAAAAUUAGUAGAAUGAAGAGGGUUUUAUUAGGGAAAAUUAGGGCAACAUUUACAAAAAAUUUAGCUGCAUUAAAGUUACUUGGGCGGCAGGUAAUGGGUAUGACGGCAAGGCCUAAUUUUUUUUCCCUCCUUUUUGCUGUCUUGGGCCUCAAACUCAGACUGUAUCUUAAAAAAACUGAUUAGUACUUGGGCCAAAUUUGACCCCUUUUAUUAACUUAAAAAUUUAAAAUUUAAACUGAACAAAAUGAAACUUAAAAAUUUUAAUUAGAAAAUUCUUCUUAACAAAUUACAUUAAAUUAAUUCCCAAGAAAGGUUGGAGGGGUCACAACGAUCUCGCUUAAGUUCCAAUCUCCUUAGACAGAAUUAAUUAAAUGUAAUAAAUUAAGAAAAUAAGUUCUAAUUAUUUAUUUAUUUACACAAUGAUUUCAUGAAAAAUUAAGGGUCUGUUAAGAUGAGCGAGGAUUCAAUUUGCUCAUCUUUACCAUUCCAGUAGUGUUUGAGACAUUGACCAUUAACUUUUAACGUACCUCCAUAAUUGUCGUAUAAUUGAAUAGCUCCGUAAGGAUAAACUCGGUAGAUGGUAUAGGGUCCUUUCCAUAAGGAUUUUAGGUUCCCAGGAAAUAAUUUUAGCAUUGAAUUAAACAACGAAACCUUCUGACUUUCUUUAAACUCGCGAGGUCGUAUAUGACUAUCAUGCUAUCUCUUUGAUCUUUCUUUACACAUUUUGGCAUUCUCAUAGGAAAACAACCUCAGCUCUUCCAACUCAUCCAAUUGUAACAUCCUUUUCUCACCGGCUUGCUUAAGAUCAAAAUUUAACUGCUUCAAAGCCCAGUGAGCUUUAUUCUCCAAUUCUAAAGGAAAAUGACAUGCCUUUCUGAAACUAACCAAUAAGGAGUAAUUCUUAAUGGAAUCUUAAAUGUUGUUCGAUAGGCCCAUAAUGCAUCAUCAAGCCUUCGAGACCAAUCUUUUCUGCUAGGGCGUAUUACCUUUUCAAGGAUACCUUUGAUUCCGUGUUUCACUCUUUCAACUGGCCCAUUAGACUGGGGGUGAUAGGUAGUAGCAAUUUUGUGCUUCACAUCAUAUUUGUCAAGCAAUCACUUAAGCCAUUUGUUCACAAAGUGAGAACCUUCAUCACUAAUAAUAGCUCUUGGUUUCCCAAAUCAUGUAAACACAUGCUUAUGUAGGAAUCACAUGACUACUUUAGCAUCAUUUGUAGGGUAUGCUUCAGCUUCAACCCAUUUGGAUACAUAGUCCACAGCACCUAAGAUGUAUUUGUUCCCAUAUGAAGAAGGAAACGGGCCUAAAAAGUCAAUGCCCCAUACGUCAAACAAUUUAAUCUCCAAAAUGUUUGUCAAGGGCAUUUCAUUCCUCAUUGAUAUAUUUCUAGUCCUUUGGCAUUUAUCACAAAUCUUCACAUAAGCAUAAGUAUCUUUAAAUAGUGUAGGCCAAAAGAAACCUGCUUCUAAAAUCUUUGCUGCAGUAUGUGAUCCAUCAAAGUGUCCCCCACUUGGAGAUGAAUGGCAAUGAUACAAGAUCUCAGCAAUCUUGCUUUUAGCUACACACUUUCGGAUUAUAUUAUCUACACAUUGUUUAAACAAAAAUGGUCCCUCCCAAAGAUAAUACCGACUAUGAUGAAGGAAUUUUUUCCUUUGUUGGUAUGUCAUUUCUCGAGGAAUUAUUCCACAUGCAAGAUAAUUGGCAAAAUCAGGAAACCAAAGUAUUUUAUGAAUUUGAUUUACCUCAAAUAAGUGUUCAUCUGGGAAGUUCUCGUUGAUAGGCACACAUGACAGAGGUACCUCAUUUUGCUCCAACCUCGACAGAUGAUCAGCUAUUUGAUUUUCGACACCUUUUCUGUCUUGGAUCUCAAGGUCAAAUUCUUGGAGUAAAAGUAUCCAGCGAAUUAGCCUUGGUUUUGCAUCUUUCUUCGUGAGCAAGUAUUUAAUGGCCGCAUGGUCAGUAAAUACUAUAACUUUGGUACCUAUAAGAUAUGAGCGGAAUUUGUCAAAAGCAAAAACUAUAGCAAAUAGUUCCUUUUUAGUUACUGUAUAAUUAAGUUGGGCUCCUGUCAAGGUUCCACUUGCAUAGUAAACGGGGUGGAGCACUUUAGUUUUUCAUUGACCCGUGAUAGCUCCAAUGGCAUAGUCACUUGCAUCGCACAUCAACUCAAAAGGUGAGCUCCAAUCGGGUGUAACGAUUAUUAGGGCUGAGAUUAACCACUUCUUUAGCUCUUUAAAAGCUUCUAAACAUGCUUUGUUGAAAUCAAACACUAUAUCUUUCUCUAACAACAAACACAACGGCUUACAAAAUUUUUGAGAAAUCCUUAAUAAACCUUCGGUAAAAACCAGCAUGGCCUAAGAAACGUCUGACUUCUUUCACAUUAAUUAGGGCCAGUAAUCUUUCAAUUACGUCCACCUUUGCUUUGUCAACUUCAAUUCCUUUCUUUGAAAUUCUAUGGCCUAAGACAAUCCCUUCCUUAACUAUAAAAUGGCAUUUCUCCCAAUUAAGGACAAGAUUCGUUUCUUCGCAUCUCUUCACUACCUUAGCCAAAUUACUCAAACAUAUAUCAUAAGUGUUACCAAAAAUAGAUAAAUCAUCCAUGAGAACCUCAACAAAAAUUUCAACCAUAUCAGUAAAUACUGCCAUCAUGCAUCGUUAAAAAGUUGCAGGUGCAUUGCAUAAACCAAAAGGCAUUCGCCUAAAAGAAAACGUACCGUAUGGACAAGUAAAGGUUGUUUUAUGUUGGUUCUCUGGGGCUACAACUACUUGAUUAUAUCCCGAAUAACCAUCUAAAAAAAUAGAAUUCAUUACGUGCCAGUCUAUCUAACAUCUGACCCACAAAAGGUAACCGAAAAUGAUCCUUCUGAGUGGCUUCAUUCAGCUUUCUGUAGUCAAUACAGAUUCUCUAACCAGUAACGGUUCUUGUCUGAAUCAAUUUGUUGCGCUCAUUUUCAACAAUCGUGAUUCCACCUUUCUUCGACAUACACUACACCGGACUUACCCAUGAUCUAUCUAAAAUAGGAUAGAUGAUUCCUGCAUCUAACCAUUUGAUCACUUCCUUCGUCACAACUUCCUUCAUAAUAGGAUAGAGCCUCCUUCGCCCAUCAAUUCAACCUCUUUCACCUUCCUCUAAAAUAAUUUUAUGCAUGCAAAAAGAAGGGCUUAUACCUCAAAUGUCAGCUAUGGUUCAACCAAUUGCUUUCUUAAAUCUCUUUAAAACAACAAUAAGUUGUUCCUCCUAAUCUUUCAUUAGUUCUGCUAAAAUAAUCACAAGCAAAGUAGAAUAGUCACCUAAAUAAACGUAUUUCAAAUGGGAAGGAAGUACCUUUCGUUCGAGUUUAGGUGGUUCUUCAAUUGACAACUUGGGUUGCACAAAUUCUCUGACUUCUAACUCCAACGGUUCAAACCGUGUGGAUUGAAUAAAAUUUCUCGGGUUGGCUUCCAUCAAAACCAUGUUUUCUUCACCUUUUUUAUUCUCCAAAGGGUCAAGAUCUAAGGUUUUCUCCAAUGGAUCUUCUUUAAAAUUACUUUCCCUAGAAACCAAGGUUUCUAUCUCUUCCAUAACUAAACACUCCUCUGUUGGAUCGGGAAAUUUCAUUGCUUUAAGAAUGUUAAAGGUUACCUGAACAUUUUGAACUCGCAUGGUGAGUUUUGCCUUUCUGCACAUCAAUUAACGUUCUCCCUGUAGCCAGGAAAGGUCUCCCAAGGAUAAUUGGCACUUCCUUAUCUUCUUCAAAAUCUAAAAUAAUGAAAUCAGCAGGAAAAAUAAAUUCAUCGACUCUUACCAAAACAUCCUCGAUCUUUCCUUUGGGAUAUGCUAACGGUUGAUCCGCUAGCUGAAGCAUCACAAUUGUAGGUCUUACUUCACCUAUGCCUAACAUCUUGAAAAUAGACUUAGGCAUCAAGUUGAUACUCGCUCCUAAGUCACACAAAGCUUUACCACAGUAAGAUUCACCAAUGUUAAAGGGUAUAGUAAAGCUUCCUGGGUCUUUCAAUUUCGGUGGCAGUUUGUUCUGCAGGAACGCACUGCACUCCCUUGUCAAGGCAACAGUCUUAUUCUCACUCAGUUGUUUCUUCUUGGAUAGUAUAUCCUUCAUAAAAUUCACAUAAUUUGGCAUUUUUUCAAAAGCCUCCACCAACGUAAUAUUGAUGUGUAACUGCUUUAGAACAUCCAAAAAAUUCUUGAAUUGCACCUCCUAUUUUUGCUUGUGUUGCUGAAAUCUUUGUUGAUAUAGAGGUGAUGGAACUUUCGGUUGAACCGGACAAAUUUUCUGAGUAGGUAAAUCUGCAUCCAAAGAAGAUAUUAAAAUAUCUAAAUUUACUAAGCCAGUGUUUACCUUGUCAGACUUUAUAGAUUCUGAUUCCUUUAGUGUAGGAACUUCAACAGUUGGUUGAUUUCCCUCCUUUUCAACAUGCUCAUCUUCGACAUCAAUCAAUCGAGGUUCUAGAGUCUUACCACUUUGCAAUGCCACUACCUUAAUAUGUUCUUUACCCAAAUUCCUUAGAUUCUCAGUAUUGCUUAGCAAGGUUCCUUGCGGUCUAUUACGAAGCUCCGUAGCCAACUGACCCAUUUGGUUUUCCAAAUUUUUCAGUGUUGCUACUUGGCUUUGGAUCAAAGCGUUAUUCUUUGCCAUGUACACUUUCGACAAGUUCUCCAAACUGUUUGAUACCUCGGCUUGAGGUGGUUUUGGAGCUUGUUGAUUAAACCCUUAAGAUUGGUUGGGUCUUUGCUCCAAUAACUUGUUGUUUGGUCCAUUUCCUUGGUUACUCUAAGAAAAGUUAGGAUAAUUACACCAUAAAGGAUUGAAGAAGUUGGACUAGGGUCCUUGUCCACUCCUAUUUUGAUAUUGGUUCCCCACAUAGUAAACUGACUCGGGAUUUGAUGGACAAUUCUCAAAAGAAUGACCUUCCCCACAGUACACACAGAAAACUAGUUCAAACAAACUUGGUGGCUGAGCUACAAAAUUAUUAGCACUAUUAGCGGUUAACUAUUUUAACAUAUAGGAAAGAGACGAUAACUGAGCUGAUAACGAAGUGAGGGAGUCAACUCCAUGAAAUCCAGCCACACGUCUUUCUGAAGUUGUUCGAUUUGUUGGUCAUUGAUAGUUAUUACUCACGAUCCUCUCGAUGAUCUCAUAAGCCUCAUUAUAAGACUUAGACAAAAUUGCACCAUUCGUGGAAGCAUCUACCAUCAAUCUUAUAUGUGCAUUGAGACCACUAUAGAAUGUCUCCAACUGGAUAUAGUGAGGAAUCCCAUAAUGAGGACACUAACGAAGUAACUCCUUGAAUCGCUCCCAAGCCUCAUACAAAGAAUCGUCAUCCAAUUGUUGGAAAGUUGUAAUCUUGUUCCUCAACUUAGCAUUUUCUCUAGGUGGGAAAUACUUAACCAAAAAUCUCUCUGCUAAUUCUUGGCAUGUAGAUAUGGAACAUGGUGGUAAUGAAUUGAGCCAUACUCGUGCUCAAUCUCGCAACGAGUACGGAAACAAAUUUAACCUCAAUACGUCUUUAGUCACACCGGCUAUCUUGAAUGAAUCACUCACCUCCAUAAACAAUCAAAGGUGGAGAUGUGGAUCUUCCGUAGGCAUACCACUAAAUUGGCCCACCGCUUGUAUCAUUUGAAACAUCACUGGUUUCAAUUCAAACCAGUAAUUCCUGGGUUUAGCUCAUUAAAAAGUGGCACAGCAUAUUUUUUAUGCAUCGAUCCCUAUCAUCGACAAUAAGGAUAGGAUUUCGUACAUGAUCGGCUUCAUUACCUUGGUCUUGAUUCUGAUUUUCAAGGUCUAGCUCGACUUGUCUUUGAGCUAUUCAUUCACGUCUUCUUUGUCUGAAAGUUCAUUCAAUUUCAGGGUCUAUAAUUUGAUCUAUGCUCAUAAACACCUGAGAAAAAAAUCACAAAAAUUAAAAAGAAUAAGUUAGUAAUUUUAGAGAUAAAUCAAAUUGAAAAUAAAUAAUUCCACGAAAAAAUGAAUAUGGCAACAGUUGACAAUCCUCGGCAACGGCACCAAAAACUUGUAACGCUUGGUUUUGUGCAAGUUUACAUAGUCGUUAUCCAGUAAUAAGUAAGUAUUGAGUUAUCGUCUCCACAGGGAUUGUAUUUGUGCUAAGUCACUUAAUUUGUGCUAAGUCACUAAAAUUAUUAUCAACAAGCUUAAUAACAUUCGGAAAAAUAUUCCAUGGCAACUCGGUCUUUCAUGAGUUUGGAAACCACAUUAGGUCCUUUCGGAGUCCUUUACUUAGUAAAUAAGCAUUUUACUGAUCCUUAUUUACUAAGGUUUUCUUAGCAUUUGUGGAGGUAACAGAGACGUGUGAGGUUUGAAACAAUUUAAUCACGCAAAUCUAAAAAUUAUGCAGAUAACAGAACUUAGUUAGAGUUGUUAUGCAACCUACAAUUUAAUCGGGCUAGGAUCUAUAUUGAGCAUGCACAGUUCAAUUAUGCAUCCAUUAGCCGUCGUCUGAUUAGGAUCGCUCAGCUAAUUUAGGUGCAUUUCAAUCACAUAUGAACGAAAUGCAGACUUUAUUUUAAUUGAAAACACGAUUGAUUGAGGCACAAACAUUAUAAGCAUGAAUCAAAUAAAUAUUAUUUAAUCAAAAUAAUCAUCCUAGCUUAAAUAAAAUUAAGCAAUCAUUGUUGUAAACAAGAACAAAGAACACAUAGCAAACAUCUUAAUAUUAAAUUAAGGAAAAGAAAGAUUAAACCCAAUUCAGAGUGAAUGUCACCCAAGACUCUAACUGACGAGGCUCCUUUGCUUUUUUGCUUUGCUCCUUUGUUGCUGGCUCUCUAAGGUGGCCGACCAAGGGUUCUUUAAGAGGCUUAAUUUCUAAAAUCCUUAUGCAAGGGUGAUGAAGGGGAAAGAUAGCUAAAAAAUUUGAAAGAAUGAUGAAUGAGUGAGAGAUGAGGGGUUGAGGGAUGAUUGAAAAAGUGAGAAAUGAGCUUUUAUUUAUAGGUGAGGCAAGAGAGCAAGUUUGCUAAAAAUAGGAGAUUCCAUCCUUUGAAACUUCCUCCAAGAGUGGCCGGCCAUGAAUUGAGGAAAGGUAGCUGAUUUUUCCUUGAUUUUUGGUCAAUUUGAGUGCCAGAACAACUCAGGACUAAGACUUGGUCAUCAGCAAAUCUUCGGGAAAAUCUCCGAUUUCUUUAACUCUUCAAGGCCUUUGUAUAAUUAAACCAAAAAAUGGUUUAUGACAUCCAUGUGUUGCCAAAAAUUGGGUUGUCUAGGUCCCCAAUUUGGACGGUUUUGCAAUUAGAAGAAAACUCUCAGACCUGUCCAAAAAUAGUAGAUAGUUUAGAAGACCAAAUAAUAUAAAUUAACCACUUUAAUUAAUUAAUUUACUUAAUUAAUUAAAACCCAAUUUAUUAAUGAAAUAUUAAAAAUGAAUUAUUAAAUAUAACUUUAUAUUUUAUUAUUUAAUUUAAUCAUGCAUGGCCCACUUUAUAGCUUAAAAAUAUAAUAUGCUCUAAUUAAUAUAAAAUAAGUCAUUUUAUGCAUGAAAACUAUAUAAUAAAGUAUAAAAUCACAUUUUAAUAAUAUCUAUGUCCUAGUUUCAUAUUUUUCACAUAUUUCAUUAAUUUAUUAAACAAUUACUUGGUUUUAACAACAAAUUUAAGUAAAAAUGUAAUGAAUUAUAUAGGAAAAAUCCUAUAUAUUUUUAAGUUUACAACUAUUUGAAUGAAUUUUUAUCGAUUUGUGAUUUUUAUUGAUAUGUUUUAGAUUAAAUUAAUAGAUAUUUGUGCAUUGGUUGUUUUAUCAUGAUAAGUUUAUUUGCAAAAUUAAAAUUUUUUAGGUUGUUUCACUGAAUUGAGGUAUUAUUACCUUGAAGUUUGAGAUUUGCAAGAUUGACAUCACAAACUAUAAUUUUUUUGUGAGAUUUUGAACCUUUAGAGAAUACAUUUUUCUAGCUCAUUUUUAUUAUUGGUUAUGAGUGUGUCAAUAUUGAUUUUUUAUUUCUAGAACUUGCUUGAUUAUGCAUGUCAAGACCACACCUUCGAUUUGAUAUACUGAUAUGGUAAAGGUACUUAGGUUUUAACUCACUUAUCCCAUAGAAGUCUACCUACAUAAUUAACCCUUAGUGAACCUCUUUGAGUCUAACACAUCAUUUCUUGAUUUACACAUAAAUGGUAACCCAUAACUCAUUUUUUUGUUCAUUGAGAAAUUUCCCCGUAUUAGUGACUCUCUUUUUGCCGAGAUUUGAUUUGGUUAAUUGUCUAACUAUGCUAUUUUGUUUCAUUUGCUGAGUUAUUUCUAAUUCUUGCUAAAAAAUAAAAAAAUGAUGAGAAAAAAAUAAAUAAAUAAUACAUUUAUAUUAAUUAUUAUUUAGUUCUAUGUUAAUUGAGCUUGAACAGUUAAAUUCAUAUUUUGAGAAGAAGCUCGUGUUAUUCUUGAAUAGUUUUCGAUUAAUGUAAUUGUUUUUAAUUUAGCAUUUGUUUAUUUUUCUAGUUUGAUAAUUUAUCAAUUCAAUCUCGAUUUUAACCAUCUUUUUCAGCCUUUCUCCACACCUUUAACCAAAGCCCAUUACAACCUCUUAAAUACCUUUUGAUUUGUGUAUCAUCUCAUUUUAUAGUGGUGGAGAUUUGAUUUUAAUGCAAGCCUAUGGUAAUGACUUUUCAUGUUUGACUAUUGAGUGCUUAUUUUUGAACCUUAAACACUUUGAGUGAUUUGAGUGAAUCUUUAGUGAGGAUGUCAAUUCUUGUCGAUUUUGAAUUAAAGGUAAUUACUUCUACUCCUUUACAAAGUUUUUUCAAUCUUUGGGUCAAAAGCAUUAUCUUCGUUAACAGAAAUGCUUCUACUCAUGUAUUGAUGGCAAACCUGUAAAAAUUAAAUACAACUAAGUUAGCUAAAACUAAUGAAACAAAAUAAAAUUUCACCAAUUGCCAAUCCCCAGCAAUGAUGCCAAAAACUUGUUGCUUGUGAAUAUGAUGUGUGAAUUGUGCAAGUAUACAUGUCGAAUAAGUAAUAAAGUGAUGAGUGAGAUCAUCUCCAUAGGGAUUAGAUAGGUAGAAUUUGGUUGAGUUAUUAGAGUUAAGCUUGAUUAAUGCUAAAGAAAAAUAACAGUGAGAAUGUAGUGGCAAAAUGAGAGAAUGAUGAUAUAUAAAUUUGUGCAAAACAAAACAAGUAAAUGAAACAAGUAUGUCACAAAAAAUUAAAUACAAAAAAGAAUAUUAAUGAACUACAAUGUUGAUUAGGACAGCUUGGAUUACUGAUGCAUCUACCUUUUCUAACUAUUAAUGCCACAAAAAAGUCUUGAACAUUCUACUGCUCGAUAGAUUUCUACAGCAGUUUGCUUUUUUCAAGAGCAAAACCUUGGGCUACCUCCCCUACGGUACUAUAUGUCUAUAGACAUGACUUCCGCUACCACAAAUAUUUUCUACCUUUCUUUGCAUGAGGCAAGGCUUUAUGUCUAGAGGUUGAUAAGAAUAAAUAAUUUAUCAUUCACUUAUGUUAUCCAAUAUCUAUCCAGUUACCCUAACUUUGUUGGCAAUAAGUUAUCUUUAAUAACCUGUUGCCUAUUCAUCAAUACACAACCUAUAUACUGCUUAAAAUACUAUUGGAUAAAAUAGUAGAAAAAUUCCAACUUAAAUUGUGAACAUUAGUAGAAAUUAAAGGGUUCAGCAAAGUAAUCCCUAGCCUAAGAGAUUUAGCUCAUAGUUGGGUAAAUCGAGUUCGAGUUUAAUGUAGUAACAAAAAUAAUCUUUAACAAUUAAGUUCUAAAGGAAAUGUGAUAAGAAUUAAGGGAGAAAAAUUGAAAAGAUGGUUUUCGCCUAUUCAACUCUCAACACCAGCAGCGCAAUGUCUUGUAGUUGCUAAAGAUGAUGCAGUCGUUUUCUCCCACUUCAGUUGCUUCCCUUCUAGGUCCUUCCCUCCGUUUCUGUUAAAAGCUUCUCUUUCUAUCCAAAAACUACCUUUUCUAGGGUUCCCCCUUUGGCUUUUAUAUGUUUGACCUUCUAGGGUAGGUCCAUCAACUUAUCAUUCUUUCUCUCUUUUUCAGGUGGAUUUAUCUAGUACAAGUACAGCUAGGGCUGAGAACAGUAUGCAUUAAGUGCUGACUAGGCAUCUUCCAAGUGUCGCCAUAGCAUUUGUGUUGGCAAAAUAUCUGAAAUUUGUCAUAGCAAACCUUCAAUACUUUACUCUUUUUCCUACACUCUGCACCUGCCAAUCAACCACGAAGCAAGUCCUUCCCACAGGCAAUUAAAAGUAACAUGUAAUAGCAGUUAAGCACCAUCCAAGCUCUUUAAUGCAAUACUCUAAAAAUACCAAUGUAAUAUCCUAAAAUGGAACUAAAAUCACUUAAGUACAAGCAAUUAACUAAGUCUAAGGGCAUGAAAUGCAACUCUUUUCAAGAGAUAUCAAGGAGACUUAUAUCCUUUCCUCCCAUGGUAUCCUUCAUACUCCCAACUAGGUGUUAAAUCUCUAUUUGCAUCAAACACGGAUGAGCCAUUGGGCCACCUAUAGUCAUCAUUAAACAUGUCAGUCAGUCAAUUAUCAGUAAAAUAAAAUCAAGAAAAUCCUAAAAACAAAAAAAUGUUGUAUCUAUAAAUUUAAUUUUCACUAGUUAUCUCGUUAUAAGCUUGCAAUAAUAACAUAAGAAAAUUCUCAAAUUUUGAAUCAACUCCCCAGCAAUGGCACAAACAACUUUGACUGUAUCGCAGUAGUGCGCAAAAAAAUGAACGAUUUGAUAAAGACAAUUUAAGGUGUGAUUUUACUUCAAGCGUACAGGUCAGUUGUAAUAUUUGGAAGUGUACAAUGAAACACUUAGAGUAUUUCAAGGAUCAAACUGAAGAGUGUAACACCCUAUACCCGGUUUGGUCUCCAGACCCGAACUAUAAGGCAUUACAACAUUAAACCUUGAAAAUUUAUCAUAAAAUAGUUCAAUAACAAAUAAAUAAAUCAUAACCAUUCAAUUCUAUACUAUUAAAUUAACUUGGGACCUAAAUUGAGCAUACGAAACAUUUAAAACAUAUCAGAAAUGAUACUAGAUUAAAAUGAAACUUUUAAAUUUUUUUGAGUAAAAAGUGAAAAUAGGGGUCACACGACAGUAUGGCUAGGCUGUGUGUCUUAAGAACAUGACCGUGUGGCCAAACCAUGUAAUAAUUUUGGCCCAUAUAACUUAGGGUCAUACGACUAUGUUUCUAAGUCAUGUAACUCUUUGAGACCGUGUGGAUAAUCUUGCACCAAAAGUUAAAGAUAUAACAUGGUCAUGUCAUUAAAAUGUGUGGGGCACACAGCCGUGUGCCAAACCAUGUCCGAGACUGUGUGUGCCCAAAAACACCUUCAAACAUAAGCCAUUUCACAUACCAAAAUUCAGACUUCAAGCUAUGCAUUAAACAUAAUUCAAACCUAUUCAAAUUUUGCCAAAACAUGCCAAAAGACAUCAAUACAAAAAUCAACCUAUGUGUCUAACCAAUAUGCCCUCAUUGGCUCCCCAAUUCAAACCUAUAUAACAUCCAUUCAACCCAAGCACAUACCUCAAGUUAAACUCAAUCAAUCAUCACGCAAAAUCUAGAUACCAAGUGCCAAAGUUCAACCAUAUAAACCAAAUCAUCAAAUGCCCAUAUAUCUUAUCCAAAGUUCAUACAUUUUCAUAACCAAAUUGACCAUUUCAACUAAACAGAAAACAUUCCAAGUUGCCUAUUGACAUAAACAUACAGAAAAAAACAUUAAAAGUGCUUUUAAAUACAACAUCAUUCAUUCACUAUCACAUACUUCAACCAACCAACAUAUCAAUAAGAUUUGUAUAAAAAGAUUCACUAUAAUAUUCGAAAGGCACAACAUAUAACAAUAGUUUUUAUACCAUGCAAACCAAAUCCCUAUUUACAUGCCACUUAUAACCAUGAUAGAAUAAACGAAUAGCUACUGAAUGAGUUGUCGAAUAGUGUGAUCUCCAACGAUGCUCCAAUCGACAAUGAAAGUGUAAUGAUCUACAAAGAAGAAAAUAAACUAAAGUAAGCUUACAUAAAUCUUAGUAAGUUCGUAAAGCAAAACAUCACAUACCUAUUAAUUUAAUUACAAAUCAUACAUAUCUUGAAACUAACAAUCCUUUGUCAUAUUUCAUCAUUUGAACAAUCCACAAUAACUAAACAUGGAUGAUUCUCAUCAUAAAAUACAACAUGUUAAUUAAUCAUGUACUUAAAUAUGAAUCAUCAUAUCAUUCUAUUAAAUUUUCAUUUCGAUAGUUAACUAAAUUGCUAGGAGAACAAUUGUAAAUCAAAUUUGGAUAAACGAGAGGGUAAUAUCCAUACAAGCUAACGUAAGGACUUUAACCAAUACACGAUACUACUCAUACAAGCUUCAGAGAAUUCGUAACACAUGAAGAAUCUCAAGCCAUCGAUACAGUAUUGAUCACUGGUACAUAGUACCUACUAAAUAUAACAUCGGCACAAAAUGCUUGCUACUGAAACACCGGUACAAAGUACCUGCUACUAAAAUCACCGAAAAAUAAUGCCUGGUAAAUAUACAUUGAGACAAAGUGUUUGCUAUGCCCUAAUGGCAUGUCAUUUGUAUCCUAUCUAUUCACUAAGUUCACACAGGCUUAUUAUGCUUUUUCAAGACAUUUCAGACUCAACUUUAUCCUUCCAUUUCAUCAAUCAUCUAAUAGAACAUAACAUCAUUCAAAUUUCAUAUUACCAAACAUGAAAUAAGUUAAAACAUUCACAACAUAAUAAAUAUAAUAUAAACUUACCCAAAUAUGAUAGCUAGCAACAAGCGACGACGAUUACCUGACGACUUUUCCUUUCCCCUAUUUAUCAAUAGAUUGAUUCAUUUCUUGAUCUAAAUAUAAUAAUUUUAUUCAAUUAAUGACAGCCUCUGGACGUACUAAUGUCUAGAGUGUGAAUACUAAAAUAAAAAUAUAUGAAAUUAAGGCGGUGUUUGCAAGUAUAUGGGUCAGGUUGUAAUAGAGUUUGUUUACAACAAAACACAAGGUAAGUAUUUUGAGGAUCGUACCUGAGGGAUUGCAGUUUAGAGAAAAUUGUUAUUAAGUUAAUUAGCAAAAAUAAUUACUAAUCUACUUGAGUUACGAAUUAGUAGUGUUAAUAUCGAAGCAAGUUGAUAAUAAUAUUAAUAAACUAUAUAAAUUUAAAUAAACCUAAAUCUACUCCUAAGUUCAUGUAUCAACUUCUCUUAUCCCUUUGUUUUGACUGUGCGAGUUCAUUUAGCAAAUUAAUUAUUGAUUUUAGUAGUGUUAAUAUCUAAUUAUUUUAACAGAUUAAUUAUUGAUGUAGGGCUUUAUUCAAUUAGCUAGUCGUCAACCUAGUUGUGCCUCUCGGUAUCCAACUAAGUUAAUGAGUUGGCAAGAACUACUUAUCUCUCGACCUCACAGUUCAGACCGGUUUGGGGCUAAGGUGUUUAUGGAUAGACCAUACCAAUUUUGGGUUAAUUCUCAUCUAAAUGACUUUCUAGGGUUGUUAAGCCUGGGGUUUAAGAUAUUCCUCUCACAAAGAGUUGAUCCACUAAGAAACUCUAUCCUUCAAUGACUUAAUUAGGUUAAAAAAAGAAUAAAUUGAUUCUAAUAUUUACACAAACAUUCAACUAGCAAUGUUAAAGAAAGAGAUAUAAAGAAUAGAAUAAGGAAAAGAGAAGCUCAUGUAUUUAUUGAACAAAGCAAGCCUCUAGAACAAUAUCCACUCGCGGAAGUCUUACUUCAGAAUAGGAUAUUCUGAUUACAAGAACAUAAAAUACCCUAAGUGAAAACUAAGAACAAAAUAAAAACCUAAGAAUAAUUUUUGUCUCCCUAAAAUUGUGUAUUUAAACUUAUUACAAUGGCCUUUAUAUAUGAUGAACAUGGAAUAUUAAAUUACCUAAAUUAUCCUUGAAGUCUUUAGAGUUUGACUGGGAAAAAUACUCCUAAUUUCCCUAAAAAAAUGCAAUUAUCUCGUGCAUCGGCUUUUUGGGCUGUGUAGGGGCGGUGUUGUAACACAAGCAUGUAGUGUUGCAACUUCGGAUCCAACAUCGCGACAUCAAAGGGAUGUGUCACAACACCGAAGGCAGUGUUGCUUUAGGGCUUUGUUUUUGCUUCUAUCUUUGAUAUUCCAACCUUGGUGUUUUGGUGUCAUGACAUAGGCAUUAUUUUUUUCCAGAAUAUGCAUCUUUAGCUCCUGAUUUUUCCUACAAGACCAUGUAAUCUUAUUUAGAUGUAUAAAAUGUAAUAAAAACUACUAAAAAGCAUAAAUUACUACUUUAAGAAUGAAAACCUAAAUAUAUACUAAGAUGCUUCAGUUUAACUAUUAAAUAAGCUAAAGUUAAGUGUAAAAAGUAUGUAAAUACUAGUAAAUCGUGGAAGAUCAAUCCCUCACACUUAACUUGUUGCUUUUCUUCGAGCAACCAAAACACAUAUAUAAGAAAAAGAGAAAAAAUAAAAAAAAAUUAAUGUGAAAAUGAAUUGAUUUCUUUCUUUAAACACUCUAGAUUUAGUGAAGAUGGAUGUAAAUAAGAACCUCACAACUGAAGUCCCCCACACUUAACUUUUUGCUUGUCCUCAAGCAAACUAGGUCUAGACACACAACAUGCAAUAAGAAUACGUCUAUUGGAUUUUAUUACUACUAAAGAACAUGAUUAUCAAAUAUUAAAGGUAUAACAAUUCUUAUCACACAUGUAACUUAAUCUUGAUAGUUCGAUACCUUGAAAUUUUUUAAAAGUAGAUUAGAACUAGUUUACAAAGUUACAUUACUAACAAAUUAGAAGUAGUUUCCAUGACCAACUAUUUAACAAUAUCACUAUUAACAUAAAUUAAAUAGAUAUGUAGCAGACACAAUCAUGUGAAUCAAAAAAAUAUUUAUCAUGUAUAGCUGUUAGCUAUUCUAGAAGAUUAUGCACAGAGAACGCUUAAGUCACAUUUUUCUUUUAGGCAUGUAACAUUCUGAGGCUUAGGAUGGUAUGAGUUCAAAGAAAGAUAUUACUCAAAAUGGUUCAAACACUAGAAAUAGUUAGGUACAUGACAUUGUUCCUUUUCUUCCCCCUUAAUGUCCUACCCAAGCUCACCACCUUUUGUCUCCAUCACUCACCUACCUUAUCUCUCCAUGUAGGAAGAUACAACAUAAUACUAGCAAUUAUGGUCAUCUUAAUGAGUUUUGGUGCACUGAUGAUUAAUUUUUCUCACUUUUGUGACUUUUUGUUUUGCCACUUGAAUUUUUACUCUUUUCUUAGUCACAGUGCUUUUGUUUCUAUUCUGUAUUUUUUCUUAUCAUUUUUACUUCUGACUUUUUUCUAGAUUUUUCUUUGCCUCAUAGUUUUUCGCGACCUAUAAUCAUUGUAUCACAUUUUUUCUUCCUUUUUCACUCUUUAUUUUGAAACCACUGUGAUGUAUCUACCUAAACCCUCAAUAUCUAUGGCUUGAUGUCUAUUUCGAAAUGUAUUAAAGGACCAAGGAUAGGGAAGAGUUCAAAUUUUAUGCAUGGUCUUUGGGUUUCAAUUUUUUUGGUUCGUCAAAAAGGAGUUAUUAAUCUCAAAUAAGGAGACUAGGGAUGGUCAUUUGAGAACUAACUAUUCAAACAAUGCCUUUGUUCAUCCCUAAACAUCCCACCAUACACAAUUUCUUUCAUGCUUCAGAUUAAAUCGAAUGAAUAAUAAUCAAUUCAAGCAUUCACGCUUCUAUGACUAUCUAUAAGACUUAUAUCUCAUAUGGCUUCAUCAAACAUUCUUGCCUAGGUACUUCUAAUCUAUUAUGGAAUUUAACUAAGUAACCUAAUCAAUUUCCCUUUAAAAAUAAUCAAAUUAUCUCCUAUCAAUAAAAAAUUUCAUGCUUGAAAAAAAAUCAUUACAUGCUUUAUUAUUUUCAACCACUAUUCACAGUAUUAAUAUAACCCAAGCAUCAUGUAACAAAAACAAUAAAAAAAUUUUAAUGAAAUAAUCAACUAAAAUAAAGCAACACAAAAAAAUUAAUCCUAUGUACUUCCCCACACUUUAGGACAUACAUUAUCCUUGACGUAAAGAAAAUAAAAGCAUGAAAAAAACCUCCUUAUUUCUGUGAUAGUCUCUAUGUGUUUCAGGCGAACGAAAGAGUACCUAAAAAAUUCUACAAAAAGAAAUAUGAAAUAUAAUGCAUAGAAAAUAAAAAUAAAAAAUAAGAGGAAAAAAGAAGAAGUGUUGAUAAUGGAUGACAAAACAUCUUAGAUGAACUUGUCCCUUCAAUGUUGCAAGGUUUCGUUCUGUUUAGGAUGUCGCAACAUCAAGCCUAGUUUCUGGCUUCUUUGAUUUUAUUUCGAUUCUAUCACUCCAUGGUAUCUACACUUGCCAUGGGAGGAAAAAAACUAAAUACAACUACAAUUAAUAAAAAUAAAAGAAAAAAGAAACAAAAAUUAAAGUAAGAAAUAUAAGUUCUUUAAAAACAAGGACGAUCCAUGUUGCCACCAUAGAAGAACUUCUAGUUGGUUCUCGACACUUCGAUUUGACAUUUGUUCUGCUGUCGAUAUAUAUGAACCAGCCUCUUCAAUUAAUUCCAAUGAUGUUGCCUUAUUUUUGACAGACGUGACAUCCACGUUACGAGCCACUUGGUACCAAAUCUGAGCCAACCUCAAAUCAUUUUUCGGGGUAUUAUUGCCUCGAGCUUCCUUCCUUCCAUGUCACAUGAAGUUUUAGUCACUCGAGCUUUAUUUCCCUUGUCAAAUGAGAAUGAAUCGAACUCAUCGAUCUCUUCAACUGAUACCUUUUUUGCUAUGGCCAGAAAGUGUAUUGGCUCUUCUACAUUUUCAUUCUGAAUCGAUUUAAGCUCCAUGUUAGUAGUUAAUUCUACUUUUACAUCCAUGACUAGAUCUACUGUUCUGUCUGAUUCUACGUCAAUUGGAUCAGAGACCACUUCAUUCAUAUUCAAUUCAUCCCCAUGAUCUCCAGUUCCAAAUUAUUGUUGACUACUAUUGUUUAAUUUAGGGUGGUAUACAAUAAAACAAAAGUCCUCUAGAUCAAGGUUGGGAACAUCAUGCACGACCUCUUCCCUAGGAGAUAAUGCCAAGGAUAUUUCUUACAGCUUCUUCAUCUAUUCUAUCAUGUCUGACAUGUUUGAUAAUCUUUUGAAGCCAGACGACUCAGCAGUUUUGUAUGAGGGCAUCUUAUGCAAAUCACAAGGAGGCUCAUCUGAGUGUUUAGGCAUAUCAUCAUCUUUAUCAUACGAAUCAUAAAGAGGUUCAUAUAAGUACUCAUUUUCCUCACACCCUUCAUCAUCGCUCUAUUGGUUUGUCGUGGCUUCACUCGACCAACCUGUUAUGUAGUUCAAUUCAUUGUCCCAAGAAGUUCCUUCAUCAUUAAACC
rnacentral:lncRNA from 1 species